CUCACCAUAUCCACUUCACACUCCAGUUUGGAUUCAUUUCUUACCUGUCACUGUAAGCUGCUGCUGCUGCUGCUGGCUGAGCAUAUCUGUAGGCUGCAUAGCCACCCUGCAGGGACAAGGAAGAGAGAAGAGAAAAGUGGAUUACUAGUUCAUAUAUGAGUCAGCAGUGGCAGCUAAAACUACAUAAUGUCAUCUUGGGCUACUUUGAGAGAAGCAUAGUUUCCAGGAACAGGGAGAUUGCCUUUGGAGUACUCAGGUGGCAUGGAGGAUGGAGUGCCAUUAUCCCAUGGCAACUAGACUUUGAAAAACCUAAGAGUUUCUAAUAUGCUGAGUAAUCAGUGAUGGUGCCCCAAAGAACGUAAAUAGCAAAUGUGGGUAUGUACACUUGCCUUCUUAGAUGACACAGUCUCUACUGUGCUCCACCACCUGCUCUUUCCUCCAUGGCUGCCAUUCUGUUGGGGCUGCUUGCCACAACACACCUCGCCUCAGUGCUCAGACAAGUACCAUACCUCUCCUUCGAUCCAGCCUCUCUCUCAUGCUAAUGACUGUCAACAUGAAACAGAAGCUGUGAAGGAGAAGAAAAUUACUCCCUGAAAAGGAAUUGACUGGUCCCCAUCAUUUCUCAAGGAAUCACUGACCUGUGAAUAUUUCAUUACCCAAAAUGUGGUGCCAUCCAUACAAAGCAGGAGCCACUGAGGCCAUUGGGAGUAGUGGUGAUAAAGUUCCAAGACUUAGGGGAAUACAAAUAUUUGUCUAUCUUACUCUUAUUAUUCUUAUAUUCUCCCCAAAUCUUUCCAGCCCCCCUCUUUCUCCUCUCCCUAAGUCUUGGAACUUUUUCUCCAUCUAGGAAAGAGAACCCUAUUAAAUAUUUGGGGAAGGAUGGGGAGGGAAAUAGAAGAAGGGUAGAGGUAAUUCAGAUAGAGGCAGCUAAAUGGCUCAUUCAGUGGGUUAAGAACCAGGUCUGUAAACAGAAAAACCUGGGUUCAAAUUUGGCCUCAGGCACUUCCUAGCUGUGUGACCCUAGGCAAGUCAAUUAACCCCAACUGCCUAGCCCUUACUGCUUUUCUGCCAUGGAAUUAGUACUUAUUAGCAAUUUUUAGAUAGAAGGUAAGGGUUUAAAGAAAAAAAGGAUCAUCAAGACUGACUUCCAUUUGCAGAUACUUUUGGAGAAGCAGCUCCAAUAUGUGGUGAUUAAAGCACUUGUCCUAGAAUCUAGGAUAAAACUUUACUAGCAGUGUGAUCAUAGGCCAGUCAUUUUCCAUAUCUGGAUCUUUGUUUCCUCUUCUGGAACUUGUAUUACUUAUGUCAAUAAAUGACCAUGAUAGUAUGCUGUAAAUCUUAAAAUUCUACAUAAAUAUAAUGAUUUAGUUUCAUUAACUUUUUAGGUGAAAUUUGUUGGGAUUAUGGUAUACUUUUCCCAGAUAUGAACUCAGACUACUGUCCUGGACUUAAUCCAAGUGACUAUGAAGUUUUUACAGGAAUAAUAACCCACCCGAUCUCCAAGUCAAUAGGAUGAGAGACUUCUCUUUGGACAUCACUUGACUCCAUGAGUCUCCAAAGGUGGAGGAAGCUUUCUAAUUUGUGAUUUGAUAACCAAAUCAUGGGGCAGGUAGGUGGCACAGUAGAUAGAAUUCUGGGAUUGAAGUCAGGAAGAUGAGUCUUCCUGAGUUCAAAUCUGGCUUGAGAUACUUCCUAGCUCUGUGAUCCUAGGCAAGUCACAUAAUCCUGUUUGUCUCAGUUUCCUCAUCUGUACAAUGAGCUGGAGAAGGAAAUGGCAAUCUAUCUACUUAAGUGUAUCUCUACAAAAACAAAACAAAACAAAAAACUUAAACGAGGUUACAAAGAGUCAGACCAGACUGACAAUGCCUGUAUAAAAACAAUAGCUACCAAAAAAACCCCCAAACAUUUCAGGACUGACAGGAAGGGUAAAAUCUCCUUGGUUUAGGAGACAAAUCUGGCUUAGGAGACCUGCAGGACCAGCUAAAGGAAGAAAAUGGAAUGGCAAAGUGAUGAAUAGGAAUAAACUCAUCACUAACUUGAUCUCCAGGAAGCAACAGGAUAUAUACUCUACUCCAGGGAUCCUUUAUCCGAGUUCUCUAACACUCUCCAAAACUAUUCUUAGUUUGUCUCCAGGAAAGUGGGUAGAAUUCUCAAAACAAAUUGGGUUUAAUUCAGUUAAUUCAAAAUAGGGUUAGGUAUUAAAUAACCAUAGAGAAGAUUCUGAGGAAUAAUAAUAACUCCCCUUUAUUGACUUUUUAAGGUUUAAAAAGCAAACUCUCAUAAAAACAAUUCUAUGGGAAGUUAUAUAUGAAUUUUCAUUCCCCAAACUGAAGUUGUGCUCUAGCUGUAACAGUCAAAAAUAAGGUAAAGUGAGGCACAAAAGUUCCAAGAACAAUCAGUUUAUUUGUAAAAUGUGAAUCUACCAAUAAAUGGGAUAUCAGCUUCCUUAGUAAGUUAAGACCUUGAAUGAGGGGGAUCAUUUUCUUUCCUAAGGUUUUGGGAGUACAGAACAAAGAACAGAACAGAGUAGAAAACAUUAUGUCAUAACCGAAGCCCAUGGAAUAACAUGAUUGGUUGGAAGCUUUAUGAUGGGGGAUGGCAAAAAUCUCUUCCUUCUUUCUCUGUGACUAAGAAGGGUUCAUUGUUUGUAUCUACCUGUAAGGUCACUGAUAAUUGCUCAGACAUUUUGGACAGCUAGCCAGAUAUCAUUGAAGGAUAGCUUAGUGGUUUAAAGGCUCAACUCCCUUAUUCACAUGCAUUCUCCAAAGUCGGUUAAAUCUUUGGGAGCAAGAAUAGAUCAGUGAUUAGCAGGAGAGUAGGACUUCUGGACAUAACUCUUUAUGGAUCAGCUGAUUCUGAACUAAGUUCAGAGACAGAGAACCAUGACUUAAGCAAUUAUAGGACAAAAGCAGUUACAGGAUAAAAUAAAUUAAAUGCAAGUACGAUCAAGAAGAAAAUGCUACAAAAUUAAUAUUGAUCAUUUCAAAGCUAUAAUAAUCAGGAGAGUAGAGAGUUUAACUCAGGUCACCUGGUUCUGUAUUCUGUGCUCUUUUUACCAGGCUAUGUUGUCUCCCUGAAGAAAUUGUAUGUAUUUGUGUCCUACCAAAAAUGUAUAAUUGAGGAGCUGACCAACAAGGGUCCAAUCCUUAACGCCUGCAGAAUAUUCACUGUUUGCCAAAAUUUUCCAUGUGGAAGCUUUGGAGUUAUUAGAUGUUCAGCAAAUGGUAUUCACAGCUGCAGCAGCUAAACCCAGUGAGAAGUCAGCCCAGAGGGAUAAGCAGCUUUACCCAACACAACAUCCAAGAUACCAAGAUUGUAACAUUUUGCAAAGAAGGGAGUAACAUCCAUUUGCUAUGUCACCCUCAAAACUAAACAUGGUUGUGGUAGAGGGGAUGUUUAAUUGUCACCAUUAUAUAUGUGAAUCUUCUCCCUUCAGGGAUAGAAGUGGUAGAGGGGAGUAUAUUCUCAGUUUGGAAAGUUGUUGUGGUAAGCCUGUUUGGGGGCAAACAUAAUGGAAAGACCCUUCUCCUACUCAGCGUCAGAGCAUAUAUAGAUAUUCCAUGACUACUUCCUAUUAAUUUAUCCUAUGGUGAUGCUAAAUCUUUUCAUUGACUACUGAAAUGAAACCAAAUAUGCCUACCAGAAGCUCAUAUGAACAGAAGUCUCCCUCAACUUUUGGACUAAGGGCAAUGAAGAAAGGCUGUGAUCCUCCCUGCAUGUAGGAGGAGAAGAAGUAGCAAUGCUCCCUGUUGUCUCCUCCUCAUACCCAAGCACCAUGUAGCCUUGAACUCAUAGUGUCACUUCUCUUUCUUUAGACUGGGUUUAUUUUUAAGUGAAUGGGUAAUGGGAAUAGACCAGGUUAGAGACUUAGGAGCUUUGAAAAGUCAGAAGAACCACUAGAGAUCCCACAUUUGGAGUUCAUAGCCAUGAGUUUACCCUGAGUCAAAAUGAGUCAGGAAAGCCUGGUAAGAAGUUAGCCCCCAAAUGAUCUAUUUGACCUAGGCCAGUUUUUGUUUUAUUUUUGAAAAUUUUAUUUAAUUAGUCAAUUUAGAAUAUUUUUCCUUGGUUACAAGUCAUGUUCUUUCCCUCCCCUCCCCUACCCUCCCCCUCUCCCAUAGCCAAAGAGCAAUUCCACUGGGUUUUACAUAUGUCCUUGAUCAAAACCUAUUUCCAUAUUGUGGAUGUUUGCAUUAGGGUGAUCAUUUAGAGUCUAUAUACCCAAUCAUAUCCCCAUCGACCCAUGUGAUCAAGCAGUUGUUUUUCUUCUGUGUUUCUGUUCCCACAGUUCUUUCUUUGGAUGUGGAUAGUGUUCUUUCUCAUAAAUCCCUCCAAAUUGUUCUGGAUCAUUUCAUUGCUACUAGUAGAGAAGUUGAUUUGAUUGUACCACAGUGUAUCAAUCUCUCUGUAUAAUGUUCUCCUAUUUCUGCUCCUUUCACUCUGCAUCAAUUACUGGAGGCCAUCCCAGUUCACAUGGAAUUCCUCCAGUUCGUUAUUCCUUUGAGCACAAUAGUAUUCCAUCACCAACAUAUACCACAAUUUGUUCAGUCAUUCCCCAAUCGGAGGGCAUCCCCUCAUUUUCCAAUUUUUUGCCAUCACAAAGAGCACAGCUAUGAAUAUUCUUGUACAAGCCUUUUUCCUUAUUAUCUCUUUGGCUAGCCCAGUUUUUUGAACUUAGAAAAAAACCACAUUUCAUUCAUGUUUUAGUUCUUCCAAAAUUGAAAAUAUCAAAUCCUACUAAGGAAAAAAAUAAAUAAAUUACUCUCUUUCUCUUAAAGUCAUAGGACACAGAAAGAUCCAGGAUGGGCGAGUGCAGAGAAGUAGGAGAGGAGAUGAUAAGCAAAAACCCCUCCCAAAUACUUAACAACAAAAAACCCUGUUCAACAGAAAUUUUGAUAAAUACAGUUCAAUGCAAGACAAGUAAAAAUGAAGGACAGUGACCAGUGGCUGUGAAUUGACUCAACAUCCAAGAUAACAGUCUGCAAACAAGGGAGUGAUACCUAUCAAAUAUACUACCCUCAAACUAAAAUUGGUGGUAGAUGUUUAGCAGUCACCAUUCUGUGUGAAUCUAUUCUCCUCAGGGGCAGAGAUGGUAGAGGGGAGUGUAUUCUCAAUUUGGUAGGUUGUUAAUAUACCUUCUCAGUAAAUAACUCUUUAUGGAAGAUAAUUGGUGUUAAUUUGCUAAAUGCUAUGGGGGCAGGAUUAACUGGUGAUUAAUGUUUGAGAAGAAAUAUUAGAUGGGGGCCUAUGAGUAUUAGAAAAAACCCCAGAUUCUCAUGGUUUCCUCUAGAAUCCUAAAAGGAAAAAGUAGUAUUGUUUCUCCAGUUACAUGACCUCCUAGUUUGAGUAUGUGGUUUUGUGAAUCCCAGAGGGUGUGGGCUAAAAAAUCCCAAAAGGUAUCACAAUUCAAACAAUUUUGGAAGCUUCUGCUUUAAGGUAAUACAGUCUCUAUAGUCUCUGAACUUUUUCUUAUCACACUCUUAUCAGUAAAAGUAUUUAAUUUUUAAAAAUGAAAAUAUUUAUAUAAUUAAAAAAUUGUAAUCACAUACCCUCAAUGUAAGUAUAUUUAUUUACAAAGCAUAGACGUGAUGUUGUUCACUUGUUUCAAUCAUGUUCAAUUUUUCCUGACCCCAUUUGGGAUUUUCUUAUCAAAGAUACUGGAGUUAUUUGUCAUUUUCUAUUCCAGUUCAUUUACAGAUGAGAAAAGUGAGGCCAAUAGAUUUUAAGUGAUUUGCCCAGUUUAUUAAGUGUCUGAGGUCAGAUCUGAACUCAGGAAGACUCAUCUUUCUGACUCCGAGUUUGGUGCUGUAUCUGCUAUCUAGCUGUCCCAUAUUGCUACAUGGAGUGCUCUAUUCAUGUAUAUUACAUGUACAUAAUUAAAAUUAUGUAAUUAUAAAAUAGAUUCAAAAGAAAUUUAAAUGGAUGAGCUAAAAUGAGGCUCAUAAUAUUUUAAUAAUAUAUUAUUUUAUUUGCCAAAAUAAAAUGUACUUAUGAAGAAAUGUUAUUAAUAAUAUUUUUCAGUGAGAGCAAUAUUAUUGAAUAUGCUUCAUUAUUUGAAAAAAUUCAUUAUGUAUGUCCUGGGGUUUCUUAUAAAUAGUAAUUAUUUGUUAGUAAUUAAUCAUUCAGUUAAUUUCAUCAAUGUAGCUAGCCAAGCAGGUGAAAUAUUUUUUUAUUUUUUUCUUAUUACUGAAAGAUACACAAUGAAACAAUCAAGUAAUAGGUCACGGCAGUCAGUGAACAUCCUAACUCUUCAGUAGGAGUUAUAUUUCUCUGUGUGUAUUCACCAUAUAUAAUGCCAAAACAAGCAAAAGUGGAUUGUCUCUAAUUUCAAUUCAUCAAAAUUUCAAUAUAAGUGAAUUCUGUUUUUUUUUCCUAUGGUUCUGCUUAAUGCUGAUAUCCUACCUUAAUUUCUUAAUCAUGUUUGGAAUAGUUUAGUUGUACUUUUGAAUAAGUAUGAAAAAUAGCAAGAAGGCUAGUUGUAAUGUAAGUAGGUUGGGGCUAUGUUUUGAAGACCUUUAAAUACCAAAUGGGAGUUAAUAUUUGGUACUAGAGGCAAUAGGGGGCCAUUAGAGUUUGUUGUGUAGGAAGGUAACAGAGUUGCACUUUUGGAAAACCAUUAUGGCAACUGAAUGAAGGAUGGAUUAGGAGUAAGAAGAGUCUUGACAUAAGGAGAUUCAGAGGAGAGGCUAUCUGAGUGGCUAUGCAAGAAAUGUUGAGGAGAUAUAAAGCUUUUUGGCAAUUGGCCACUAAAGGAUGGUAGUAUCCUUGGUAGAAAUAGAGAAGUUUGGAAGAGGGCUGAGUAUGAGAUAUUGGAUACAGAUUGCAAUUCAUCCAUGCCUAUUUUUCUGAUAUGACUGACUGUUCCAUGAAUGAAAAAUGGUGGAAGUAAGGCUAACCCUAAGCCCUGGAGACUAUCUUCCCAAGGAUACCUGGCAUAGGCAUGAAGUAAUUGGGAAGUAGGAGGGGCUGGGAGAGGGGAAGAAGGUGAAUAUAUCAGGGGUAGAAGAAAAUUCUCAGUGACACACGUGAAGCUGCUACUAUGGUUUCUGGGUUAAUUAACUGCCACAAGGGAUUUAUGCAUAGUAUAGAGGGAAAUGCAUUUGGGACCUUACCACAGUUUGGGAGAGUCUGGAUCAUGGGAAUGUUGAGUGAUAAUGAAUGAAGGAGAGAUAUGGUUGUGAAGACAAUUUAUCUUCACCUUCUCCCUGUUUACUAGCAGUUUCUCUACUGUCUACAAAUAUGCUCAUCUCUCCCAUCUUCAAAAAACCUUCCUUUGACCCACCCAUCAUUGCUAGUUAUCAUCCCUUAUGUCUUCUACCUUUCCUUUAGAGGCUGUCUACCAUCAAUGCCUCUGCUUCCUUUCUUCUUGCUCUCUUUUUAACUCUUUGCUAGUCUGGCUUUCAUCAUUCCAUUAAAACUGCUCUAUACAAAGUUACCAAUGACCCAAUUGCCCUAUCAAAUGGACUUUUCUCAACUUUAUCCUUCAUUAUCUCUGCAGCUUUUGAAACUGAUCAGUCUUCUUGAUGCUCUUUUCUCUCUAGGUUUUUGCUCUAUCCUGGUUCUCUUCCAAACCUAUCUGACUACUCCUCAGUUACCUUUACUGUAUCUUCAUCCAGGUCAAGCCCAUUAAACAUGGGUGUUCUAAAGGGCUCUAUCCUGAGAUUCUUAUCCCUCUAUACUGUUUUACUCACUGAUUUGAUGAAAUCUUAUGGAUUCAACUAUCAUUUUUUACACAGAUGAUUCUCACAUUUAUUUGUCUAGCCCUAACCUUUUUACUCAGGGCAGCUAGGUGAUACAAUGGAUGAUAGAUAGAGUGCUAGAUCUGGAGUCAGGAAGACUCAUCUUCCUGAUUUCAAAUAUAGCUUUAAACACUUAAUUGCUGUGUGACCCUGAGCAAGUCAUUUCAUCCUAUUUGCCUCACUUUCCUCUUCUAUAAAAUGAGCAUGAGAAGGAAAUGGAAAACUACUCUUGUCUCUGCCUGGAAAACUCCAAAUGAGGUUAGGAAGAGUUGUACAUGACUCAAAAAUUGACUGAAAAACAACUUCUCCUUGGUCUUUAGUCCAUUUCCUACUACUUUAAUUGGAUGUCUGGAUAUUUUAAACUCAACAUGUCUAAAACAGAACUCAUUAGCUUUCAUUCUGAACUCUGCUCUUCCUAACUUCAUUAUUACUCUUGAGGAUAACACUAUCCUCCUAGACAUCCUCACAACCUCAGUACCAUCCUAGACUUUCCAUUUGGUCACAUUCCCCAUCCUAUAUCCAAACAUCUGCAAAGUCUUAUUGAUUCUACCUUCUUAAUAUGUCUAGUAUAUGUGAUCUUCUCUAACACUGCCACUAUUCAAUAGGACCCUUUUACUUCACACCUAGACUAUAGUCUUCUAUUUGGUCAUUCUGCCUCAAGUCUUCAGGCCUGGUUCUCUAUCCAAUAAGCCACCUAGCUGCUCCACUCUUUGUUAGUCUUCACACACAAUAAUCAUUUGCCUUGUCUUGAGUGUUUUUUAUUAGAUUUCUCUCAUGUCUUGGAACUCUCUCCUAAUCUUUGCCUCCUGGCUUUCUUGAAGUCUUACCUUAAUUCCUACUUCCUACCUUUGAGAAGCCCUUCCCAAUCUUCCUUACUGUUAGUGCCCAUCCCUCUGUCAUUAUCUCCUAUUUACCCUGCAUAUAUUUUUUUGUACAUGGUUGAUUGCAUUCUGUCUCUGCUCUUAAGACUGUGAGCUCCUUGAAAGAAGGGUUUUUUUUCUCUCUCUAUCCCCAGUAUUUAGAAUAUUGGCUAGUAUAAUUUAACCACUUAAUUAAUGAUAGUUGACUGACUGACCAAUACCACAACUGAGUAUUUUUGGAAAGUGGCAUAUUACCCAUCUUCCCACCUUUUGAUUGGUUGAUUACAUACCUUUUAUUUUUUUUAGAUUUUAUAAUUAGAUGAUUUAGAAUAUUUUUCCAUGGUUACAAGACUUAUGUGCUUUCCCUUCCCUCCCCCUCCCUUCCCAUAUCUGACGCACAAUUCCACUGGGUUUAUAACGUGUGUCAUUGAACAAGACCCAUUUCCAUAUUAUUAAUAUUUGCACUAGGAUGAUCGUUUAGAGUCUACUUUCCCAGUCAUAGCCCCAUCAGUCAAUGUGAUCAAUCAGUUGUUUUUCUUCUUGAUUACAUACCUUUUAGAGUCCUGUCAAGCCCCUUUUGGGGUCAUGCCAAAGCUACUACUUUGAAGACCACUACUCUAGGAGUUAACAGAACUCUGAGGACUCUCUAGAUUCUGAGGAGUGUGAUCACUUGUCUACUGUCAAAGAAAUAUGAUGGCUUUGUAAUUUUGUGGUAAUUAGUUAUGAAUGGAAUUACCAAAUUAGUAAACACCAGGGGAAAAUGAUGAGGAAAAUCCAUUUGGGGAUUAAUAGAGCAAAGGAGGCAGUGUCUUAUGACAGCUUCCUGGGAUAGUACAACAUCAAAAAGCAGGGACACACUACAGGGGGGUGAGAAAGCAGGAGGGACUGGCAGAGAAGUGAUCAAAGUUUCCAGUGAUCUCUUAAUUACUACAUCUAAUGGUAUCUUCUCAAUCAUAAUCCUUCUUGACCCCUCCGGAAGCUUCUGGCACUGUUGAUUUUUAUGACACUGUUCUUUUCUGGUUCUUCUACCAGUAUGACUUCGAUGCUGGUCCUCAUUACUUCGAAGUCAUGGUCCUCAAAACCCAGCUACGAUGGUCUGGACAUGUCAUCCACAUGGACCCACAGCGAAUACCAAGACAGGUAUUCUAUGGUGAACUGUUAGCUGGACUCAGGAAACAAAGCCGACCAAAGAAAAGAUUCAAGGAUCAGCUAAAGUCAAAUUUGAAGUGGGCUGGCAUCACACCAAAGCAACUAGAACUCGCUGCCUCUGUCAGAAGCAGCUGGGAAACCCACAUAAACCAUGCCGCCACCAUCUUUGAAGAUGAGCGACGUCGACGUCUUGCCGCUGCGCAUGAACGCCGACACCAGGCCACAACCGCACCUCCCGUAACAACUGGUAUUCCAUGCCCCAUGUGCCACAAACUUUGCGCCUCAGUCUUUGGACUUCAAAGCCACAUGAGGGUACAUCAAUAGAUGAUAAUGAUGAUAAUGCACAAAGAUAAUUGUCAUUCUCGGUCACCGAGAGACUACCACUAUAUACUAUACCAGUAUGACUAUUCCUUUUAGUUUUCUUUGUAGAGGCUUCAUCUAUGUCAUGCCCACUACCUAUCCUAAGCUUUCUUUUAUUCUCCCUUUACACCCUUUUGGUGACCUCAUCAGCUCACAUGGAUUUAAUAAUUAUCUUUAAGCUGUGGUCUUUCUCUUGAGCUCUCAUCCUGUACCACCAACUGCCUUAUGUAUGUUUCUGAUUGGAUAUUCUGUAGGCAUCUCAAAUAUAACAUGUCUAAAACAGAGUUAUCUUUCCCUUCAAUUCUGCCCCUCUUAUAAACUUCCCAAUUUCUGUUAAAGUUAUCACCAUCCUUCCAUUCAAAACUUACUAUCAUUCUGCGUUCCUCCCAGAUAUCAAGUCAGAUAUCACAUCUUAUCCCUUUACCUCCACAGCAUUUCUAAUAUAUAUCUGCUUCUUUCUACUCAUAAAGCUACCACUCCAGUUUACAGCUCAUCACCUCUCACCUGUAUUAUUGCAAUAGCCUACUAAUUAGCCUUUCUGUUUCAAGAUUUUCCCCCACUGCCAUCCACUCCUCACAAACCUGCCAAAGUAAUUUUUACUAAAACACAGGUUAGAUCUUGUCAAUUCCCUACUAGAUAAAACUCCAAUGGCUUGCUAUUACUUAAAGGAUCAAAAAACCUCUUGUAUUUGGCAUUUAAAACUCUUGAUAACCUGGACCCAAUCUAUCUUUUUGGCCUCACUAUGUGAUAUUUCCCUUCAUAUAAAUUAUGGUUCAGACAAACUAGUCUUCUUAAUAUUUCUCCCACCUAGCUUCCUCUCAUUGAAAUUAUUUUGUAUAUAUGACAUUUCUGGCAUGUACUCCCUCUUUACCUCUGUCUUGAAGAAUCCCCAGUUUUCCUUCAUGGUGUUGCUUAAAUACCAUCUUCUUCUUGAAGUCAUUCAUAUCCUUCCAGAUGCAAGAACCUCUCCCUCCCCUAAAAUUACCUUGUAUUUGUUUUGUGUAAAUAUAUAUAUGUACAUAUACACAUAAAUGUACAAACAUAUACAUGCUUAAAUGUAUGUGUGUGUAUGUUUACUCUAACCAGAUUAUAAGCUAUUUGAAGGUAGGAGAUGUUUCAUGCUUUUCCUCCCCCUUGCAUCUACAUAGAGUGCUUAAGAAAUGCUAACUGAUAGUUUGAAAGAAGAGUAUUGGGAGUCAGAAUGCUGUCAUUUAUUCCUGCCUUAGUUGCUGAUCUGCUCCUCUCAACUUGAAAUUGGGACAAAUCAUCCUGGGGGCAGGACAGAGCAUGAUAAAAUGGUCGUUCGAUGCUGCAACUAGAGGGAAUUAAAUUAGAUAUACAGAACUUCUUGAUGGAGAGGAUAAUAGGGCACUUAGGUCACUGCUAUGGAAUAUCCUUCCCUGAACAUCUUUAAAAAAAAACAGGAGAAAUUCUUAUCUGCUUAAUUCUUGUCUGAGAAAGUAAAUAAGUUGUCUUGACAGAAGGCAAGGGAAUAGAACAGAUGACCUGUUAGCCUGAAGUUUCCAGCCUGAAGCCUUCUUCCUGGGAUACUUUGAGACCAAGUGAAGAGGGCUCUGGAUUCCUGGGAGAAUAGCACUUUACUGCCAGAAAUAUAAGGAUGGGCCUAGGGAAGGUCUAGGAGUGGUUGUCAUCAAUCAUGGAGAUCUAGAACUUCCAUCAAGUGCCUAUCCACCCAUGGCAGUAAACUGGGAGUGCACAGACUCACAGAUAUAGUUUCUGCUUUUAAGAAGACAGUCAACAUAGAUAUGUAGAGAGUAUUCCAGAUAAAAACAAAAUGCUUCAUUCAUUGGCUAUAUUAGGAGUCUGCAUUAAGUAGAAGCAGAGAGAAGGGUAAGUGGUAGAUAGUUAGGUGGCUCAGUGGAUAGUCAGUCCAAGAGACGGGAGGUCUUAGGUUCAAAUCUGGCGUCACACACUUCCUAGAUGUGUAACCCUGGAAAAAUCACUUAACUCCUAUUGCCUAGACCUUACCACUCUUCUGCCUUAGAUCCAACACGUAGUAUUAAUUCUAAGGUGGAAGGUAAAGGUUAAAAAAAAAAGAAAGAGGGGUGAGUUAAUUGAAUUAAGAUGGUAAUUGAGGAGCAGGUGCUUAACUAGGAGUCUGGUGAGGAGGCAAACAUCCCAUCAUUUGUUCUGGUUUGGACAAGAGGGUCAAGAAUAUUUGAGGGAUUGUGGCAGGAAAUUCAUAGCGUAACAUGUCAUUGAGUGGCAUAUGAAAACAGAAUUAAGACAAGAAGGUAGUGGUAGGGAUCCUACUCCAUGAGAACAAGAAAUAUGCCAUAUCUCUGAAUAUAUACUGUGCUCAGUAUAGCACUUUUUUAAGGAAAAUUUGUAAUACAAAUUUAAUAAUACUAAUAUAUUGACACCCCUUUAAUGUUUGCAAAGCACUUUACAUAUAUUAUCUCAUUUGACCUUCUCAACAACAUUUUGAGGUAAGUAUGAUAUUUUCAUUCCAAUUUUACAGAUGUGGAAACUGAGACCUAGGAAAGUUGAAGGACUUACACAGGGUCAUAUAGUGAGUAAAUGUCAGAGGCAGUGUCUAAACCUAUCUUGCUGUUGUUUUUUUUUUUGUUUAGUUUUUAAAACAUUAUUUUAUUUGGUCAUUUUCAUACAUUAUUCAUUGGAAACAGAUCAUUUACUUUUCCUCCCCCACUCCCCCCACCCCCUUCGUCUGGGUAUCACAUGUGUCCUUGCUCUGAACCCAUUUCCUUGUUGUUGGUAUUUGCAUUAGGUUGCUCAUUUAGUGUCUUUCCUUGAUCAUGUCCCCUCGACCUCUGUAGUCAAGCAGUUGCUUUUUCUCGGUGUUUUUACUCCCUCAGUUUGUCCUCUGCUUGAGGAUAGUUUUUUCAGUACAGCAUUUUUGCACACAGUAACUUAAAAAUAUCCCUUACUUUCUAUAUUAGGAUCAAUACAAAAUAUUGGUUCCAAGAGAGAAGAGCAGUAAUGGCUAUGCAAUGGGGUUAAGUGACAUACCCAGGGUCCCACAGCUAGAAAGGGUUUUGAGAUCACAUUUGAAAUGAGGACCUCCCAUCUAUAGGCCCGUCUCUCUCUUUCCACUAAGUAACCUAGCUGUGCCACACAUAGUAGGAAAGAAAAACCUCAAAGCUAGUUUCUAAGCUAGGGGAAUUCAAUGAGCAACCUAACCCCAGAUAUGAAAGUAAGCCAGAGUAACUUGGGCUUUGACCUAGGAGAGUGAUAGAACUCUUUUAGCAAUUAGAAACAACUGACCUUAGUUAGUCCCUUAGUUAGCAAGAAUAAUUAGUUUAAAUUGAAAGCUACCAGAUGGUAAGCUUCUCACCCUCUCUUCUCUGCUCCCCCCUCCUCAAUCUUGGUCAGUCUUCUUGAUUAAGCUCUGCCCUGCGACCUUGGCAGUCAAAUUCUCCCUAGCAGUGGUCAUGGAGUCCUUGAGUCUUUGCCUUGGCAUCAGAAGCCCAAGAAACAAGGUUGCCUCCUCGCUUCCACUCAACUGAAUUUGUUUUAAGAAAAGUUAAGUUAAAGGUAUUUUUCAUAGUAUUUUCCCCAGCAUGUUAUGUGGUAUUUUCCCUGGGCUACCAAAUUGCUAGUUUUAUUUCUCAAGGGGGAUACAGGUGGUGAUGGGAGUGGGAUCUCUGUUCUAAUAAGAUAGCAUGAGGUGGGCUGUAUCAAAACCUCAAUCAAUCAGGGAAAAUACCACAUAACAUGCUGGGGAAAAUACUAUGAAAAAUACCUUUACCCCCUUAGGUCACCUGUACAUAGAGAGAAGACAGCUAGUGUGGGCAAGAAUUAAAAAGGAUAUGAUGAAGGUUUGAAUGCAGAGGAAUCCAAAGAAGAUGAGGCCAUAAAAACAUUAGAAAGACAAGAGGAAGAAAAGGGAUGAAUUUAAUAAAGGUGGAGUUGAGCUUGCUGGGGAGGAGAAAGAAAAGUACAAGAAGCAAACACCUGCCAAAGAAGGGAGAAGAAAGAAUUCAUUAUUUGAAUGUCAUAGCACAUUAGAACUAGAAAAGAAUUCAAGAGAUAAUCCAAUUCAAAUCUCAUUUGCCAGAAUAAGAAAUGGAGGCUGCAGAGCUGUAGAAGGAGAACUAGAAUCCAGAAAGGUGACAUGACGAUGGAAAGAGCACAUGAUUUUGAGACAGAAGACCUGGGUUCAAAUUCUAUCUCUAUAACUGUGUGACCUGAGGCACGUCACUUUCUUUUUCUUCUUUUUUAAAACCCUUACUUUCAUCUUAGAAUCAAUACUAAGUCUCAGUUUCAAGGCAGAAGUGUGGUAAGGCUAUGCAACUGGGGCUAAGUGACUUGCCCAGGAUUCCAUAGCUUUGAACCCUGAACCUCCUGUAUCUAGGCUUGGUUCUCAAUCCACUCAGCCACCUAACUGCUCUAGGAGGGUCACUUUCUCUUCAGUUUCCUCAGUUAGGUGGUAGUGGAUAGAGCAGUGGGCUUGAAAAUAGGAAGACUCAUUUUCAUAAGUUCAAAUUUGCCCUCAGACACUUUUUUUUUUUUGUAAAAAACCCUUACCUUCCGUCGUGGAGUCAAUACUGUGUAUUGGUUCCAAGGCAGAAGAGCUGUAAGGGCUAGUCAAUGGGGGUUAAGUGAUUUGCCCAGGGUCACACAGCUGGGAAGUGUCUGAGGCCAGAUUUGAAACUAGGACCUCCCGUCACUAGCCCUGGUUCUCAAUCCACUGAGCCACCCAGCUGUCCCCUGCCCUCAGAUACUUAAUAACUGUGUGACCCUGGGUAAGUCACUUAACCCCAUUUGCCUCAGUCCCUCAUCUGUAAAAUGAACUGUAGAAGGAAUGGCAAAUCAUUCACAGAUCUUUGCCAAGAAAACUCCAAAUGGGGUCGGUUACAAAAAAUCGGACAUAACUGAAAUGACUCAAUAAGAAUACAAUUACUCAUCUAUAAAAGGAAGGGGAUGGACUAUAUGACUUCCCUCACAAGGAACUCUCAGUUCUAAAACCCCAUGAUCCUUUAACUUGUAGACCAGAGAUUCUACUUGAUGUCAAUUUCUGUUGUUGUUUAAUCAUGUCUGAUUCUUCACAACUCCAUUUAGAUUUUUCCUGGCAAAUAUAUUGAAAUGAUCUGCCAUUUACUUCUUCAGCUCAUUUUACAGAUGAGGAAACUGAGGCAAAUGGGGUUAAGUGAUUUGUCUAGGAUCACACAGCUACUUAAUGCUUGAAGUUGAAUUUGAACUCAGAAAAAUGAGUCUUUCUGACUCCAGAUCUGGUACUUUAUGCAUUGUGCUACCUAGAUACCCCUUAUGCCAUAUUAUCUCUUAUAAUGAAAAGACACUUCAUCACCAUUCUUCUCUCCAAACUUCAGCUCUAGUCACAACCACUUUUCACUUCAACUCUAUCUCAGUUUCUUCAACUUUAAAAUGGAGACCAUAACAGAGUCCUAUCUCAAGGUAGCUGUGAGGAUCAAAUGAGAUUUUAUAUAUAUAUAUAUUUUUUUCUAGUUAAAAAUUUUUAAACUUUUAUCUUCCAUUUUAGAAUCAAUACUGUGUAUUGGUUUGAAGGCAGAAGAGUGGAAAGGGCUAAGCAAUGAGGAAUAAGUGACUUGCCCAGGGUCACCUGAGAUAAUAUUUGUAAAGUGCUUACUACAGGACCUGGCACAAAAUAUAUGCUUAAUAAGUGUUUAUUUCCUUCUUUCCUCCCCACCCCCAAGUGAGAGAUGUGGUAUGGACAGGAAAGAUGGGAUUCCAAAUUCUUACAGCAUCCUCAGUGAAAGUAGACCUCAUUAGGGCAUUAUUCCAUGACAGAGUGAAAAAGAGAGUAACAUAACCCUGUUAAGCAAAAAGCUCUGCUCAGAAGCAGAGACAAGGGUUAUCCUUCAUUGUAGGUGAACUGGGUUUGACAUUAUCAUAAGCUUCUUAGGAUCUGUUGUUUUAGUCAUUUUUAAUCGUGUUUGACUCUUUAUGAUCCUUUUUGGACAUUUUCUUGGCAGAAUGAUUGCCAUUUAUUUCUCUAGUUCAUUUUACAGAUGGAGAAAGUGAGGUAAACAGGGUUAAGGGACUUGCCUGGAGUUGCAUGGCAGGGUAAAUGUCUGAAGUCAGAUUUGAACUUAGGUCUUCCUGAUGCCUGGCUCUAUCUACUGUGCCACCUUCCUUCAAAGCUUAGCUCAAGCACCACCUUCUUGAUUAACCCAGCUUUUUCCUACUCACAUAUAAACUCAAGUUUCUUUUAAUUUUAAAUAAAUCUUUAACCCUUUACUUAUAAGUGUAUAGGCUGUCUUCCUCAGGUAGAUGUAAGCUUCUCAAGGGCAGAGACAGUUUCAUUUUUGUCUUUGCAUCUGUAGCAUAAAUGUUUCUCCAAUGAAAUUAGGACCAGAAUUUGAGACAGGUUGCUCUACUUUUUCCCUAGGUCAUACAUGGUGGUGAGGUACGUUACAGUGGUCUCACUGAGACUCAUCACCAGAUGCAGCAGUGAUUUUCUUCUGCUUCAUGAGCAACUUUGGCUUUCCUGAGAGCCUCUGACUAGAUAGAAACACUUUUUGGAUGACAAUAAAAUGGAAGCAGAAUUCUGAGAGAAGCCAGUGGCAAUAUGAGGGUGAUGGAAGGCCUUGGAGAAGGGUCAGACAAGAAAGAAUGGGAAGGAAAGCUAAUGUAGGGUGGAUAGAGCUAGCUUUGAUGAUUGAUUAUCUCAAUUAUCUGUGGUUAUAGGGCAUGAGGUGGGGUGGGGGAUGGGAGUAGGAGGGAAAGUAUGUAUCACAGUAAUCCACAGAUUUCUAUAAACCUCAUUUUAUUCAAUAAUUUAAAAAUCUUUUAACUAGCAAGUCAUUGUUUCCUCAUUUGUAAAAUAAGACUAAAGGACUAAAUGAUCUUGAAGGUCUUAUCCAGCUCUGAAGCUUAUCUUUCUGUGAUUCUAAAUUGUCUCCUAGAACUUCUCACAUCAUCACCAUCCAAAACAAACAUUUAUGAAACACUAGGGGUAGAAUGCAGUAUCAUGGCCUGGAAUGGUGUAAGACAGCAUCUGUCCUCAAAGGACUCAUAAUCAAUCUCACUGAGGAGACAGGAUAGAUAUAUAAUGAUCAAUAACAAUAAAAGUUGGCAUUUGUUAAGUGCCAAAUGGAUGGUACAGACAGUAAGUGUUGGAGGCUUUUGGAGAAGGAGGAAGGCAUCAAAGGCUGGGAAGAACUUGAGUUGAGUCUUGAAAAAUGGGUAGAAAAAAACCAUGAAGUGUGUGUUUUCCUUCUUUGUAUCCUUGGGCAUUUACUAAAUUCUGCCUUAUAGAAUAUAUGGAGUCUUUAUAUCUUGGACUUUGUCAUUUUUGCAGAUCUUAAAGGAGUGGUGCGGUAGCCAGUUGCCACAGUGGAUGGAGAUCUGGGUCUGGAGUCAGGAAGACCUAAGUUCAAGUUUGGUCUCUGACACUUAUUAGCUGUGUGAACCUGGGCAAUACAUUUACCCCUGUUUGCCUCAGUUUCCUCAUCUGUAAAAUGAGCUAGAGAAGGAAAUGGCAAACCACUCCAGUAUCUUUAAUAAGAAAACCCCAAAUGGGGUCACAAAGAGUGAGACAUGACUGAAAGAACUAAAUAACAAUAAACCAAAGAGUCAAAUACAACUCCUGGCUGCCACUCCAGUCAGAUUAAAAUGUGUAAAAAUCCAAUAGGACAUAGAUAAUGUUAAUAUGUGGUUUCAUAAAUCCUUUCUACUUGAGUUUGACAUUCAUGCCUAAAACAUUUUAAAUAGCAAGGAUUGUUUCAUUUUUGUCUUUGUAUCCCAAUAAAACAGCACAAUGUCUUAAUAAAUGAUCAUUGAUUGGUUAAAUGAAGGGAUAAGAUAGGCAUUGUAGGAAGAGGACCAGUGAGUAGAUGCUGAUUUAUUAGGACAUCAUAUUGGCUAGCACAGUGGGGUUCUGACUCAAAGAAGUAGAUGAUUACAUUGGUAAAAAGAUAGGUAGGAGGACAGUUGGUGGUACAAUGGAUUGAGAGCCAGGCCAGAGUUGGAAGGAUCUGAGUUCAAAUCUGCCUUCAGACACUUCCUACCUGUAUGAACCUGGACAAAUCACUUAAUCCCUUUUGCUUAGCCCUUGCCCUUAUCUUUAAGAAUUGUUACUAGGACAAAAAGUUAGGGUUAAAAAAAGAUAGGCAGAAGCCUACACAAUAUAAGUGCUGUACAAAUCGAAGAAAUUCAGAGGAUCAUCUGGAAAGGGUUUCUGUGGCCCAAAUCAUAGUUAUCUAAGAAUCCAGUUUACAACAAGUGGGUUCAACCUUUGCAUGGAGAUCUCUAGUGAGGAGGAAACUCCAUACUUAUCAAGCUCAUUUAAACUUUGUAUAGCUCUAAUUAUUAAGAAAUAUUUAAUAAUAAUAAUAAAGAUGGGUGUAGUUCUUUAAAUAUUGCAAAGUACAUUAUUUCAUCUGAAACUCACAAUAGCCCUGGGAAUUAGGUGCUAUUAUUAUUUUCAUUUUCUAGAUGAGGAAACAGAGGCAAAUAGGGUUUGCUUAGGGUCACACAACUAAUAAGUGUCUGAGGCUGGAUUUGCACUCAUGUCUUCUUGACUCCGACCCAUGUACUAGCCACUGAGGGAGGCACUUAGCUGCCUGAGUGAUGGUAUUUCUUUCUCUUCUUCCUUAUUUUCUUCUACCUUCCAUCUUAGAAUCAAUAUUAUGUAUUAGUGGUAAGGCAGAAUAAUCAGUAAGAGCUAGGUAAUGGUGGUUAAGUGACUUCUCUAGGGUCUUACAACUAGGAAGUAUUUGAAUCUAGAUUUGAACCCAGGAACUCUCAUCUCCAAGUGUGGCUCUCUAUCCACCAAGUUACCCUUUACCUUUCUUGAUAUAGCCUAGAAUAGCAUCAGGUUUUUGAGCUGCUAGGUCUAUCACUACCCCAUACUUAUGAUAAAAAAUUAUAAAAUUAUAUACAAAUAUUUAUAUAUAGAUAUAAAUAAGAAUUUAAAUAUAUAAAAUUUAUAAAAAUAAUGUGUGUGUGUAUGUGCUAUAGCAAGGGAUUUGAUCAAACUGAGUUCUAAAGUACACAAAAUGACAAGAUAUAGAUCUUUGUCAGAAGCUGGACAUGGAGCUGGACAUGAGUUGGGCCUCAGCACUGCAUUUGGGGAUGAUGUAGUAACACUUGAUUGGUCCCUGUGUGUCUCAAUGACUAGAGGUUUGUAACAAAAACAUUUGUUAUGGAAAUGAGAGAACAUUCUCCUCCAACUUUCUAUAAGAGAGUCAGAAAUGUGUUCUUUUGAGGUUCUAUUGCUCUUGGGAUGCAUACAAUGCUUUAUCUCCCUAGGAUUUCUAGCAAAGAAAUGAGGGAAUCUCAACUCCCAAGCAUAUGACAGAAGGAAUAUGUAGCCUAGGAGAACUUGAGACCCUAGUUGGCUUCUUUUGUUUUCUGUCUUCUUUCCUGAGCACAAGCCAGAGGCCAGCAGGAUUCUGAGAAAUGGAUAUUUUCAGUCUCAGUGAGUUGAACUUUUCAUGAGUUCAAGACUGGGAAUUUUGAAGGUGGGUUCCAUUUGCCCAAUAGGAGACUAUUUAAAUGGCAGUUAUUAAAGGUUUGGUGUCAUUGUGGCAAGUUGUGUUUAGCAGAAUACCCCAGUGAUCUGUAUUUGGCCCUGUGCUGUGAAACUAUUUAUUUAUUUAUUUAAGAAUUGGAUAAAGGCAUAGAUGGUAUGCUCAUCAAACAAAAGUAGGAGGGAUAAUUAACACAGUGGAUGACGGCCAGCAUCCAAAAACAUCUUGACAGGUUAGAGCAUUGAGCUGAAUCUAAUCAGAUAAAAUUCAAUAAGGAUAAAUGUAAAGUCUUGCACUCCAGUCCAAAAAACCAACUCCAUUAAUAUAAGAUGGGGUAGCAUGGAUAGAAAAAAGUUGUUUUGAAAAGGAUCUCAGGGUUUUAGUGGACUGCUUGCUCAAUAUGCGUCAACAAUGUGAUGUGAUCAUCAAAAAAAGCUCAUGUCUUAGAUUGACUAAGGCAGGGGACUGACUGCCAGAAACAGGGAGAUACAAUUUCACUGUCCUAAGUUCCUAUCAGAUCUCAUCCAGUGUACCACAUUCAGUUCUGGGUGCUAUUACUUAAGAAAGACACUGAGCUUCUAGAAGAGGGCAAUCAGGGUGGUGGAAGGAUCUUGAGUUCAUUGUAUUUGUCAUGCAGGGAAAACAAAAUAUUGAAAGGGGUUAGCUGUUUUCAAACCCUUUAAGCAAUAGAUAGAAGUGGCAAGUUUAAUCUUGAUACUUCCAAAUAAUUACAGUUAUCCAAAGUGGAAUAAGCUUGCUAAGUAGUAGAUUCCUGGGGUCAUUAAAGGUCUUAAAGCAAACCUACUUGUGAGGUGUACUGUCAGUGGGAUUCUCCAAAUAAUGAGAUUCUAUAAUUCUGUUAAAAUCUUCAAUUUGCAGAUCCAGGACCAAUGGGGUGAAGGUUGCAAACAAGUCAAUUUAGGCUUUGUGUUGGGAAAAAAUUCUUAAAAUUAGUGAAGUUGUUCUAAAUGUGAGAUGGCUUGCCUUAAGCGUUAGUGGGUGCUUUUUGGAAGUCUUCAGUGCACAGAAUGGAUAAUCAUUUGUUUUCAGGUAUCCUUUUAUGAGUUGCACCAGAGAGCCAAUGAAGUCUACUUCUCAAUUCUGCGAUUCCCAAAACAAUGCUACUUCUCAGGAGAACACCUGAGGAGGAUUCUGUAGUAGACAAACAAAAUAAAACUUAAGCUUUGUCCAAGUUAGCCAGGAAAUCUGGACCUUCUGAGUUCCUCAGUCAGAGCUGAUCUGAGGUGAAUGUGAGCUAUCUUUUCAGUUGUCUUACAAAGCUGCUUUUAUUUUCUGGGAGACUGUAAUGAAAAUAAUGGAUGAUUGUUUUAUAUUUUUCUGUAUUUGUUCAUGUGCAUUUUUGAAUCAUUUGUGUUUUCAACAUUUUCUUUUCUUCUUUUUUAUUUUUUAAACCCUUACUUUCAAAGUAACAAAAGAAACAAAGUAACAAAGAAAGUAACAAAUGAGUUAGUAUGUCAUGUUUAACCCUUUAACCUUUUUUAUUUGGGAUUUCCUUGGUGAUCAAAUUAAUUUAGAUUUUAAGUCACAAUGCUAAAAUUAUCCUUUACAGCUUUGCAAGAAUCUGAAAAUAAACUACAGAAAAUUAUGCAAAAAUCUGAAUAUAAAAUACAGGAAAACAUAAAAAACAUGCAAUAUAAAACACAGGAAAAUAUUUAAAAAAUUUAAGGCUUACAUGAAAACAUGUAAGCCCAAUUGGACAAUUUAAAAUGUUUCCUACAGGAUCAAUUGGCAAACAUCCACCCCACCACAAAUAGGUCUGGACCUGACAGACCUGUUUCUGAACCUCUAAAUGAGGAAAUUUCCUUCCCCGAAAUAUAGAUGAAAAACACUUUCCUGUAGCUCAGCUAACAGACUGGUUCUCUCAUGGUAUGCCAUUCUUGGAUGAACUUAAUUCCCAAGAGCCUUCCCCUGAAAUCCCAGUUUCUCAUGUUCCUUCUCCUACACAAAACCAAAUUCCAGCCUAAAGGAAAUCUCAUCCUUCUAAAGAAACUCAUCUUAGUCAAACUGACCUACAGGUAACAAAUUCAAUUAGAGGCCUGUUUCCUCUAAGAGAAGUACCUGAAAUAGGAUGGAACAGGUGUAAACCUUAAAAUUUCCCAGACCCUACUUUAUAAGAUUGGAUUAAGACCAUUCCCCAUUUGGGCAGUGAAAUCUACUUAAAGCAGGAAUGUGAGAAUUCUACUUUACCUACUUGGGUCUGUCCUAGGUGAAGAUAAAGUUGUAAACUCUUUUCUGAACAAUGAAAAGUACUUAAACCCAUACUUUUCUUAAGGUAAGUACCUAUAAAGGUCAAGCAACUUGUGAAUUUACAAGGAACAAAGAACUGGAAAACUUACUCAGAGCUUUCCUGGUGUGAAUUACUCAAAAAUCCACACCUUCUUAGGUGUGGACUAAGAAUGGGCGGUCCUUUAGAAAAACGUCUACUGUGAUUGGUAAGGACUUAGGGGAGGUGACAUAGGAGAUUUUGCCCUUAAAAAUAAGAGCUCAGGGAAGAGCUGGAAAGUCAUUCUGAAACAUUCAGAUUGGAGAGACUCAUUCUGAGGAGACUGAUUCUGAAACAUUCAGAUGGAGGAGGGAGCUGGUGAAAGCAGCUGAGAUGCUGCUGGCCUGGUGUCAUUAGAAAUCCUUACUUAGACAGAUCUUAUGGUGAGUAUAAAAAACUGACUGAUUUCUCUUAAGGCUCAGGUCUAGGCCAUGUUGGCUUCAGGCCCUUCAUACUUAUUCCUUUCUUACUCUCUCUCUCUCUUUCUUUGAUUACUCAUUGUAUUGUUAAUUAAAAUCUCUAUAAAACCCAAUUGACUUGGGUAUUUGAAUAAUUGGGAAUAUUUCCCUGGCAACCACCUUAUAUUUGAUUUAAAAACCAAGACACUGUAGUGAAACAUAUUUCUGCGUUCAAAAUUACUCACUCUCUCUUAUAUCUAUCACAAUUUAUAUCUUCCACCAUUUUAACUCACUACAGUUUAUGACCUCAAUCAUUUUAAAUCUCACACAGGGAUGUGGUGACUUGAAGGCACAAUAUACCAUUUAUUCCCCAAGAAAUAAAUGAAUUUACACAAAAUAUCCCCACAUAUGAACAAGAUCCCUUUCUAGUAACAAAAAAGAUGACAGACAUAUUUUUUCAGUAUAAUCCGCCUUAUAAGGACAUUGAAAACUUGCUACAGGCUUUUUUAACUGAACAUGAGAAAAAUAAAAAAAAUUGCUCAUGUCAACAAAACUUGGGGGCACAGUGCAGCACAUUGGCCAUCUCAGGAUUGUGAAUGGGACUAUAACAACUCUGAAGAUCUUUUACAACUAUAUUACUGUAGAGAGGCCAUCUUAACAGCAAUGAGAGAGUGUGCAGGCAGUAUAGAUAAGUAGACAGAAUUUGAAAAAAUUAAGCAAAAUGAGGAAGAGACACCCUCCAGAUUCAUGGGCAAAAUAAUCGAGUUUGGGGGUAGAUAUCUGGAUUUUGACCUAUCUAAAGGAAAUUGCAUAAGACAAGUUAGAAGGCCCUUUGUCAAUAACUCUUGCAGAGUGAUUAGGGAUUAUUUUAGAACACAUUGCCCAAGAUGGCUAGAGAUGGACCUUGAAGAAUUGCAGAAAACAGCUCUAUAUGUUUCAAAGGGAAACAAAGAAAAGGAGGAAGAAAAUAAUAAUGCCAUGGAGGAAAUGAAGAAAGAAAUGAGAUGUUUAAAAGAUAAGAUAGCUAAAUUAGAAAGUGGGCAUGAUAAUGAACCAAUGACACUUACCCCUCUCCAGAAAUCUAAUUAUCAAUCCAUUACCUGCCACUUCUGUGGGAAGAAUGGCCACAAUAUGAUACAAUGUAGAGAUUUUCUCAAGAUUAUAGGAAGGAAUACACAGUUUAAUAACAACUACAGAAGUGAUAAUUAUAGAAAUAACUAUAAUAAUGAUAAUGGAAACCACAACUUUAGGAAUGAUAAUUAUAGGAAUAGAUAUUGGGAAAAUGAUAACUCAAACCAAAUAACUCCACAACAAUAUAACUUAAGUGGUGCUCGUCCAAAAAAUACUCAGGGUUCUAAUGCCCCUCAGAGGGGUGCCCUUCAGGGGGGUGCCCAAGGAACUUCCCAAAUACAAUGGAAGUGUCUGUGGGGGCACAGGAAUCAGAAGAUACAACUUUUGAUUUUCCAGACCCUGAUGUCCAACUACCUGUUGUCCCUAUCCACUGCUCUCCCUAUACUAAUUAACCCCAUGUUAUCUUAAAGGUGGGUAACACCUAUUAUGAUUUUCUUUUAGAUACUGGAGCUUCCAGGUCUGUAUUAAAGAAUACACCUGAUUUACAUUGUUAUUCUGUUGGCUCAGAGAAUGUAAUGGGAGUGUUAGGAAUACGCCAAAGAGUUAAAAAACUUUCCUCUAGAAUGGUGUCUGUAGGACCCCUAGAGGUACAACAUUCCUUCCUAUUGAUGCCCGACUCUCCUUUAAAUUUGCUGGGGAGGAACCUUCUAUGCAAACUCAGAGCCACAAUAACUUGCUCCCCAGAUGGUUCCUUAUCAUUGGAAGUACCUGAGGAAUCUUUAAAUUUACUCCCUGCAAUUCUUUCAGAGAGUCAGGAGGGGAAAAAGCAUCCCACCAUUGUAAUCCUGAAGAUAUACCUGAAUCUCUUUGGGCCACAUCUUCUUCCAAUGUAGGCUUACUUAAGUCGGCUGUUCCUGUGUAGAUAAAAACUAAAUUGAGCCCACCUCCUUCCAUUCCUCAGUAUCCCCUCUCAAAAGAAGCAAUUGAGGGUAUUACCCCAGUAAUAAACUUAUUAAUCCAUCAGGGAAUAAUAAUCCCUUGUAAAUAUGAAUACAAUAUUCCCAUCCUACCCAUUAAAAAACCAAAAAGGGGGUCUUAUGGCAAGUACCUCUAUAGAUUUGUACAGGAUCUGAGGGCUGUGAAUAACCACAUUACAAAGAGACACUCUAGAGUUUCCAACAUAUGUAUGAUUAUUUCUCCUAUUCCUAGCACAGCUACAUACUUUACAGUAGUAGACUUGUGCUCAGUCUUCUUUUCCAUACCCAUACAUGAGAAUUCCAGGCAUAUCUUUGCUUUCACCUGGAAGGGCUCUCAAUAUACAUGGAGUCGUCUGCCACAGGGUUACAUGGAAAGCCCAAGUUUAUUUGCACAAAUUUUGAGCCAAGACACAGAUGAUAUAUCAUUUAAAAUAUCAAAUUGAUCAAAUAUGUAGAUGAUCUACUCUUGGCCUCAACAGAUACAGAAGCAUAUCAGGAAGAUAGUAAAUACCUUCUUUUGGAAUUGCACAAAAGAGGAUCUAAAACAGACUAUCCUCUCUGACCCUGCUCUAGGCAUCCCAGAUUACAACAAGCCUUUUAUUUUGUAUGUACAUGAGCAAAGAGGGUGUUUUAAUUCAGACUUUGGGGCCUUCUCAGUGCCCAACUGCUUAUUUUUUUUCCCAAUUGGACCCAGUGGCAUCAGGAGCACCACCAAGUCUUAGAGGAGUAGCUGCUACAGCCUUACUAGUGACAAAAACUGUUGAUCAAGUAUUAGGAUGCCCAUUAACAAUUAUGUGCCCACAUGAGGUAGAAGCAUUGUUGCUAAGACAUAGAACACAGGCAUUCUCAGAUCAGAGAAUUACAAGGUAUGAAAUAACCUUGUUAAAUAGUGAAAACAUCACCUUGAAAUGUUGUACAACCCUUAACCCUGCCACCUUGCUUCCAGAUUUACCAACUUUAGGAGAACCAUUACACAGCGGUGAAACACUAGUGUCCAUGGCAGAAAAGCCUCGAGAUAAUCUCUUGGACACUCCCCUAGACAAUCCAGAUCUGGUCUUAUUUACUGAUGGUUCCUCUUUUAUGAGGGAUGGCAUACGCUACACUGAAGCUGCUGUAGUCAUAGAAUUUGCCACUGAGUUGUCAGCUUCACGGGUCUCUAAUAUUAGUGUUCAAGGGGCAGAACUCAUAGCUCUGAAACACAACUGUAUAAUUGCCAUGGAUAAAAAGGUAGGCAACACUUUAUAUGGAUUCUAGAUAUGCUUUUGGCAUCUGUCACUCAGUUGGGAUGCUAUGGCUCCAGAGAGGAUUUUUAACCUCAGCUGGAAAAUCUAUAGCUAAUGCAGAAAUUAUUAAUGAAGUUCUUUCUGCUCUCCAGCUGCCUGAAGCCCUGGCUGUAGUUCAUUUCUCUGCCCCUACAGGUGGCACUGACCUUGUCUCUAGGGGAAAUGAUUGAGCAGACACCACUGCAAAGCUAGGAGUCAUAGAAGGGCCUGAAUUAAAUUUAACAUUAAAAACCACUGAUGACUUAAAUUUAUCACUUUCCUAUAAUGAAAAGGAAGUGGAAAAAUGGAAGCAAAAAUUCAAAGCAAAACAGAUUAAUGGAGUAUUGGUGUCAUCUGAAGGAAAACCCCUGCUCCCUAGAAGUUUCUAUCACCAAAUUUGCCAAUCUAUUCAUAAAAAUGGUCACUUUGGCACCCAAGGCAUUGUGGACUCUGUCAAGAGAUUAUGGAUAGCCCCUGGUAUAACUACUAUAGCCUCUAAAGUGUGUACAGCCUGCCCUACCUGCCAAGCAUAUACCAACACGCCUUUCGUGGCAAAGCCUUUGGUGGGCGUCCUCUGGCUUACACCCCUUUUGAGCACCUACAGAUAGAUUUCAUAACAAUGCCAAAGGUCGGACAUUAUAGAUUUCUUCUAGUCAUAGUAGAUCAACUGACCAUACAGCCGGAAGCAUUUCCUGCGACCCGAGCCACAGGGGCUUUUGUUGCUAAGGUGCUUUUAAAAGAAAUUAUUCCUCUCUUUAGCCUGCCAGCAUGUAUUGAUUCAGAUAGAGAAAGUCAUUUUACUGAUUUUGUCCUAAAUCAAAUAUAUUCUUGCUUAGGGAUAACUCCCAAAUUCCAUGUUCCAUAUCAUCCCCAGAGCUCAGGCCAAGUUGAAAGAAUGAACAGAGAACUUAAAACUAUGAUUGGCAAAUUAUACACUGAGACACAUUUAAAAUAGCCUGAAAUUCUCCCUCUGGCCCUAUUUUAUCUUAGAAGCAGGCCUAGAGGAGACCUACACAUCUCACCAUUUGAGAUACUUUUUGUUUGGACAUUCACCUAUACAGGCUAAGCCUUUCUCCCCGGCAUAUAUAUCACUAUUAGGGGGGAGAUACUACUAUUUCUUCCUAUAUACAGGAAUUACAGCACAAACUGUGUGAACUCCAUGAAUCCAGAGAUGCAGUACAAGCCGGACCACUAGACUUUUCACUUCACGACCUGAAUCCAGGAGACAAGGUUUAUAUUAAGAAUUUUCAGUGUACUGGAGUAACUCAGCCUUCCUUCCUUACUUUCAAAAAAAAUUUCUUUUUUAAUCCCUUGUUUCUUUAAGUAUAUUUUGAAAUACUGCAAUUUAUGUAUGGCCAGUUAAGUGGAUUAAUAGAUUAUAUUAUCUAGUUUUAACUAAAGUAACCUGCACAACAUGGACAAGUGGCUUAAAAAUAUUCUUGUAAGGGCAACUAGGUGGCUCAGUGGAUAUUGAGCCAGGCCUAGAGGUGUGAGGUUCUGGAUUCAAAUAUGACCUCAGUCACUUUUUUAGUUGUGUGACUCUGGGAAAGUCACUUAAUCCUCAUUGCCUAGCCUUUACUAUUCCUCUGCCUUAGAACCAAUUCUAAAACAUAAGGUAAGGGUUUUUAAAAAAUAUUCUCGGGGGCAGCUGGAUGGCUCAGUGAACUGAGAGUCAAACCUAGAGACAGGGAGGUCCUAGGUUCAAAUCUGGACUCAGACACUUCCUAGCUGUGUGACCCUGGGCAAGUCACUUAACCCCCAUUGCCUAGCCCUUAUCAUUCUUCUGCCUAGGAGCCAAUAUACAAUAGUGACUCCAAGGCGGAAGGUAAGGGUUUUAUAAAAAAAUAUUCUUGCAAAGAAAGCAAGGAUUGAAGAUAAGAAUAAUAAUGUAAACACAUGUGAAUAACAGGAAAAUGGCAGCUUACAAUUUUCUGAUUCCUCUUAACAAGCUCUUUGUAAGUCACAUUAUAAAGUAAAAACAAUUAUUUAAUCAGAUCUGACAAGAAGUCAGGCAAAAAGUUUUAAAAUUAUCAAGAGGAUUAUUUGAAACAUGGAUUUAUAUUCAUUACCAUUAACAAUGAACCUUACCCCAAGUAUAUAUUGUGUCUUGAGAUAUUAACUAAUGAUAGUAUGAAGCCAUCACAAUUACCAGCCAUUUAAAAACUAAGCUAUUGUUGCUAACAAUAAUGCUACCUAUAAAAACCCUCAUAUCUUCACAACUUAAAAAUCUAGAAGUAGAAUUCUUUUUCCUGUUUCAAAAAUCUUCCAAAGGAAGAGUUUCAGUGGGUCUUAGAUUUAUUUGUAAAACAACAACAAUAACAACAAACAAACUUCUGAUUAGUUUGCAAGAACAACUAAUUGACAUUAAGGAAACUGAAAAUUUGUUAGCUGAAUUUCAAUAAAAAACUGCAUAAUUUGUGGAUGCCAUUAAAAUGAUUUAGCUAUAGUGGUCAAUGAUGUGUUUCUUCCAUUUGGAUCUGCAUAUCUAUGUGAUGAAUCCCUUUCAGUUUUGAUGCUUAUUAAAACUCAAUUUUAAAAGAAACUGAACAUAGAACCAGACCUUCCACUUACUGUAUCAUGAAAUGUUGGACCACCAUUUAAAAAACAAACAAUGAAGCAGGGGGUAGCUGAAUAGACUGAAAGCCAGGCCUAAAGAUGGAAGAUCCUGGGUUCAAAACUGACCUUAGAAACUUCCUAGCUGUGUGAACCUGGGCAAGUCACUUAAUUCCCAUUGCCUAGCCCUUACCACUCUUCUGCAAUAUACUGUAUUGAUUCUAAGAAGGAAGAUAAGUAUUUAAAAAAAUAAUGAAGCAUAUUCAGACAAAUUGCUUUCGCUAAAAAUUAAUAAAAUUAUAUUUGAAGAUUCUUUUUUAUCUUCAUCUUUUAAAUCACCUAUUGUUCUAUUGUUUUAUAUACAGUAUAAUAUGAGUGCAGUAGCACAUAUAUUAAUUAGUAUAUUUAGUGAGGGUGCAUGCUGAGAGGUUUUUUUUUUUAACUGAUAGAGGUACAUGAUGAAAAAAGUUUGUAAACCAUAGAUCAGUAAUUCCAAAUCACUGGCAGGUGGAAUUCCGAGUUCUGCCGCCAACUAGCCAAAUGACCAUGAGCAAGUUACUUAAUACCUCUGGGCCCGUUUCCUCAAGUGUAAAAUGUAGAUGAUAAUAUUUACACUGCCUUUUCUUUCUUAUAGGGCUGCUGUGAGGAAAGAGCUUUGUAAAACAUAAAGUGCUACAUAAAUAUGGCAUAUAAUUAGAGAAGUACUAACUGUAGAUUAGAAAAGACCACAGCUGGAAGUUAGUCCCAGUGUCUUCUUCUGGGCUAAAAUUCUCAACUGUAAGGUGUGGGGAAGAUCUGACAGGGGGCAGUCAGAUUUCAGUAUUGCUUCAGGUUUAUUGUUUCCUAUCGGCUCAAAAUCCAUCCAAAUUAGGCUACUUCCCAGAAUGCUUUCCUAAAUGAGCUGCAGUGCAGCUAGAACAUCUAACUGCCAUCAUGCUUAAUCAGAAUAUUACAGCUAGUCAUCAGGCAGGACCAUAAGCAGCCAUGGGGACUGGGGAAGUAAGGGAAAUGCCAGCCUCAUUAACUAGGAUGGGAAAGGAAUUUUCGUAGGGGAUGCUGGAGAGAGUGGGGCAGAAGGGGAGCUGGGAAAAGGAAAAGAAAAAGUGAGGAAGAGCUUUAGGGUCAUGGCUUGAAACUUUCCCCAAACUGUCAGGAUUGUAGGAGCUGACUCUGGGAUUCACCCUCCCCCAGUUUAAACCAUAGAAGCACUCCAGAACUUUCAUCCUUUGGUUUGCAGACUUCCCAGUUUGAAAAGAGACCUGAAUGGGAGGAGUGGGUGGUUGGAGGGGGGGGGGGGAAUGAGAGAGACACACACAGAUAGAGAAAGACAGAAAGACAGAUUUAUAUAAGAGAUUCAGAGACAGAAAUAACAAAGAAACAGAGAAAUGUGUUUGCAAGUCUUCUGUAUUUCUGUAAAUAGGUGAUAAUCCUUUAAAAUGCUUAAUAUUUGAUUAUCCUAGAACUCAUUUAGGGCCCUGGGUGCUUCCUUUGUUUCUUUAACAACUCAUUAAGAAGGGAAGCUAGGUGUCUCAGUGGAUAGAGAGCCAUGCCUGGAGACUCUAGGCAAUAACUUAACCUCUAUUGCCUAGACCUUAGCUCUCUUCUGCCUUGGAACCUAGAUUUAGUAUUGAUUCUGGAAUCAGCUGGAAGGUAAAGGUUUUUAAAAAAAGUAAAAGAUGCACCUACCCCCAAAGAGUUUACAUUCUAACAAGGGUGCCAUGAGUGAAUAUAGGUUUAUAUAGAAUACAUACAAAGCAGAUACAAGAUAACUUUAAGGGAGUGGGCACUAGCAACUCUGGGGUCCCAUGGCCCCAUGGCCAUAGCAUUUGAGAUGAGUCUUGAAGGAAACUAAGGAUUUAAAAGCAGAGAUGAUGAGAGAGAUCUUCUAGGCAUGGGAAAGAGCUAGUAGUAGAAUUAGGUGACUAUGGAAGAUGGAGAAUUGUACUUGUGGAAGAAGAUGGGCUUGGCUGGACUAGAGAGUACUCAGAAGAGAAUAAUGUGCAAUAAAGCUGGAAAGGUAGGAUGGGGCCAGACUGUUUAAAGGGUUGAGAAUGCCAAACAAAGGAUGUUAUAUUUGAUUCUAGAGAUAUCAGGAACUGCUGGAGUUUACUGAAUAGUUGGGGAGGUGAACUUACACCUUAGAAAAAUCACUCUGACAGCUUUGUGGAGGAGAUAUUGGAAUGGGGAAUGACUUAAAGAAUUGAGACUAAUUAGGAGGCUUUUGUAAAAGUGAUGGAGGCCUGAGCUAGGGUGGUUGCUCUGUGAGUGGAAAGAAAGAGUAUAUAAGUAAAAGAUGUUCUGGGAAGAAGAAAGGACAAGAUUUGGAAAGUUAUUGGAUAUAUGGAGUGAUUAAGAUGGAAAAGUCAGGGCUGAAAUAAGGUUUAAAACCUGGCUGACUAGAAGGAUAUGGUACCCUAGUCAGAAAUAGUAAUAUUUCAAAUGGUCAAAGGAUAUAAACAGUUAUCAACAGAAGAAUUACAAACUAGAAAUAACUAUGAAAGAGUGCUCCACAGUACUACUAAUAAAAGAAAUGCAAAUCAAAACAAUCCCUAAAUCUGCCCUCAUUCCCAGCAAAUUGGCAAAGAUGCCAAAAGGUGAGAAUAUUCAAUAUCUAAGACGCUAUAGAAUACAGCCAACUUCAUGCAAUGUUAGUGGAACUAUGAAUUAGUGCAACCAUUAUGAAAAGCAAUUUGGGAUUAUGCAUAUGAAAUAGCUGAAAUCUCUACCCUCUUUGGCUUGGAGAUUUUACUGCUGGUCAAAUGCCCCAAGGAAGUUAUUGAGAAAAAGAAAGGCUCCAUAUACACCAAAAUAUUUAUAGAAGCAGUUUUUGUGGUAACAAAGAACUGGAAACCAAGAAGAUGCCCACUAACCAGGGAAUGGUAAAACAAAUUGUGGUAUCUGAAAGUAAUAGUUUAAUUACUAUGCCAUAAGAAAUAAUAUUAAUAAAGAGAAUUAUAGAAAGACUAACAUAAAAUGAUGCAAAAUGAAGUGUCAGGAAAACAAAAUAGAUUAUUUGCAUUAAUAAGAAUUUAGUUAUUACAUGAGAUAACUACAACACUUGUAAAUAGAUAGAAUAAUAAUCAAAACACAAUAAAAAUAAAUGUCGACAAUUAUAAAGAAAGGCAUGACCCUAAAGAAGAGGUAUGAAAAGCCAUUGUCUCCAUUCCUUUUUGAAUUUGGAAGCUUCAGGGGUGUGGAACAUCAUUGGAAAUGUUACAUUUUUUUUCUUACAUGUGUUGAUUGGAUUUAUUGAUUUUUUUUCUUUUCCUCCUUUUACUUUUCUUUUUUUUUUGUUAUUUGUUAUAAAGCAUAGCACUCUGGAAAUGUGAGGGAUGUAGGAGGGGAAUUUAGGUGAUGUUAAAACAAAAGAUCAAUAAUCAUCCACAAAAAAAGAAACAGAAAUGUUUGAGAGGGGAAUAUGUGAUUCUUAGUUGCCUAUGGGACAUCUAGGUUGAAAUGUCCAAUAAGUAAUUGAUGAUGUGGGAUAGGAACUUAGGCUAGAGGUGAAGAAUGAGCUCAUAGAUCUAGGAGUCAUCUGCAUAGAGAUGAUAAUUGAACCCAUAGGAGCUGAUGAGAUCUCUCUAAGAGAGAAAACGUAGAGAGAGAAGAGAGCACAGGACAGAGCCUUGGGGUAUACCCAGUUAUUAGAGGAAAAAAUUUAGAUGAUGACCCAGAGUAAAGAAGAGUGAUAAGAAGUAGCAUGUCAGGAGGACUGAGAGAAUAGUGUCAUGAAAAACUGAGUGAGGAAAAUAUAUUUAGAGAAGGUAGUCAACAGUCUCAAGAUUGCAAAGAGAUCAAGAAUAAUGAGUACUAUGCAAAGGCCAUUAGAUUUGUCAGUUAAAAGAUCAUUGAUAAUUUUGGAGAGAGUAGUUAUCAAGGAUGGAAAGGAGGGUAAUCUUGACUAUUUAUGGGCACAGAUAUGAGUUCUUUGUAUUUUUCUGUUGGGUUAAAUAAAGCCUGUCCUAUAUUUGAUAGGCUGUUAUCUUGAGUGUAGACAUGGGAGCUGAGGAAACUUUACCUUUUUCAUAAAGACCUAGACGUGAGCCAAAUUCUAUGGUCCCCAGGAGGGAACACUGACUAGAGCACAAGCCAGAGAGAGAAGACACCAUGACUAAACCAGGGCUAUAUAAAUCCAGAGCUCGGGUUUUAGCCUUGGGCUACAAAGACAAAGAGGAAGAUGUAAGUAGAGACAGACUCAUAAUAAAUGCAGCAAUAAAUACCUUAGGUAUGGAGAAGCUGGAAGAGGUGCAGGGGGCAAAGAAGAAGAGAAAUAAGAGAUACUAUUCAUGGAGGCCCUGAGAAAAAGAAAUAUAAGAAACUGAGAAUAGAUAGAAACAGCCAGAAGUUAGAGUGACAGAAAAAAUAUAUGAGUAUAAAGAGGCAGUCACAGGAUGACUAAGUUAUUUGGAAAUUGGCCUAGGCCUUUCUCUUUAAGAGAGAAAACCAAGUCAGUCUUUUAUCAACUCACCACCAGAUUUUAUUUCUCUUAUGUCACCUCCCCUAAAUUUUCACAUCUACCAAUCACAGUAGACGUUUUCCACAGGACUUAAUUCACAUCUUCUUUUGUUAAUCACCUUACCUGAGUAGACUAAAACUUCACACCUCUUGCUAAGCUUGCUCUUUGUAAGUUGCUUGACCUUUUAGUGAUUAAUUUGACCUUCAUAGGUACUUAGCACCCCUUUGUAUUAGAUCUAAAAAUAAACCUAGCUUAAGGUUCUAGCUUUACUAUAAGUAUGGAUGGGUUGGGGACUUUUUCUCAUUGUUCCAUCAGGAGUUUACAAUUUUAUCUUCCCCUAAAGUAUGCCUAAGUAUGGGUGGAGUAAUGUUAGAGUUCCCAAUACAUUCCUAAGUACCUUCAUUGUUUAAAAUGGGGAAUAGCCUUAACCAAAUGUUCCUAGGAAAUUUUAAGAUUCUCUCUCUCUCUCUCUCUCUCUCUCUCUCUCUCUCUCUCUCUCUCUCUCUCUCUUUCUCUCUCUCUCUCUCUCUCCCUCUCUCUCCCUCUCCUAUUUAUAGUCUGAGACUAUUACUCUAAAGCCUAUGGAUACACUUACCGAAGUAACUAGGAGAAGAGGACUAUUAUUCCCUCAUCUAGCCUAUCCAUUAAGGGAGAAGAGCAUGGUAUUCUCAUAACCUCUUUUACUCAGUGUUACAAGAAAUAGGUCAGGGGAGGAAGGAAUCAAGAAUACUACUUUGUCUAUUAGCUGGAUAAUGAAUGGUCUUCCCCCAUUUGGGCUGCUAUGUCUGUCCCUUCCCCCAAGAGAAGAAGAGAUUCCUCCACCUUUUCCUACCAUUUAAAUAACUAUUUCUAACUAUAUUAUUUUAGUUUUGCUUGAGCCCUAAGGGGUACCCCCCCAUCCUCACUCAUUCACACACCUGUGCACAUGCACACACAGGCACAAGAGUUUCUCUGUUCAGCUUAGAGUUUUAAAGGGAAAAUAGGAGUUUGCAGGUUGGAGAAGAGUCCUUUAUACUAGAGGUCAAUAUUAGAGGGAUGGACAAUGUAAGCCCACUUUAUUCCCAUACAGGAAUGGUCAGAAGAACCAAAUGUUUGAAAUUGUAGCUGCUCCACAGCCCUUCCAUGAUUAAUAUCCUCUUUUUAUUAAAUACAAAUUAAUCAAGAUGCAUUUACUAAGCUUACUAUAUGCUAGGCAUUGUGCUAAGCAAUAAGAUGCAAAGAAAGAUAAAAUUAAUCCCUUACCUCAAGGAGAUUACAGUCUAAUGGGGAGUCCAACCCCCCACCCCCAUCUCCACCCUUCUUCUAUCUAUUUAGUGAAGAUACGAGUUACUCUUUAUUUUUUUAAUUGUCUGAGUCUUAAAGGAACCUGGGGAUUCCAAGAGGCAGAGGUGAGAAGGGAGAACAUCCCAGGCAAAAGGGAGAGCCAGUGCAAAAGUAUGGCAAAAAGCAAUAGAGUUGGAUUCAAUAAAGUGUGUAAUGGAAAGUAAUAUAUAAGAAAUUAGAAAAGUAAGUUUUGAAGAGUUUUAAAUGCCAGAAUUUAUACGUGGUCCUAGAGGGAGCCACUAAUAUUUAUUUCAUUUGGAAGAUGAGUUGACAUGAUCAGACUAAUCGUUUUAGAAAAUCACUUUGGUAUUUAUGUGGCAGAUGGAUUAGAGUGGGAAUGUCUUAAAGCAAGGAGACCAAUUAGAAGACUAAAAUAAUAGCCCAGGGAAAAGGUGAUGGUGGCUACAUAAAUAGAGAAAGGAGUACAUGAGAAAUUCUGUGAAGGUUAAAAUGACAACUAAUUUGGCAACAACUACAAAAAAAAGGCAACUAAUUGGAUAUGUGAGAUAAGUAAAGAACUAAGGAUUGAUUGUCCCAGAUUUGUGAACCUAGAUGACUGAGAGAUUGGUGCUGCCCUUCAAAUAAUAGAGAACAUUAUUUAAUAUAAAUAAAAGAAUAAGUAAUACAAAGUUUGGAGGAAGGGAGGGGAAAGAUAGUGAAUUCAGUUCUAGACAGUUGAAUUUGAGAUGUCUAUGGGACAGCCAGGUUGAAAAGUUCAGUAAAGAGCUGGUGAUGUGGAAUGAGAACUGAAAAGAAAGACCAAGACUAGAUAUAUAGAUCUGGAAAUUAUCUGCAAAGAGAUGAUAAUUAAACCCAAGGGAAAUGUUGAAAUUAUCAAGUGAGGAAGUAUAUAGAGAAAAAGAGUCUAGGACAAAGUUUUGUGAGUAUCACCUAGAGGAAGAUUCAACAGAGAAGACUGAGAAUCAGCGAUCAGACAGUAGAAUUUAAGAGAGCAGUAUGAUCAAAAUCCAAAGUGGAGUGUCUAGGAGACGGAAGUGAUCAAUAGUGUUUAAUAUUCCAGUGAGGUCAAGAAGGAUGAGAAAUGAGAAAAGAUCAUUACAUUUGGCAAUUAAAAGAUCAUUAGUUGGAGAGAGCAGUUUCAGUUGAAUGAUGAGGUUGGAAGUUAGACUGCCUAGGGUUUAGAAGAGACUGAGAGAGGUAAAGGUAAACAACUUUUUCUAGAAGAUUGGAUGAGAAGUGGGGAAAUAUAGGCUAGUAGAUAUUAGGGAUGGUAGAAUAAAGUGAGAUUUUUUUUUUAAGUUGGAUGAGAUGUGGGUUUGUUUGUAUGGGUAGCAGAGAAGGAGCCAGGAGAUCAGGAGAGACUGCAGUAUAAAGUAUGGGCAUAACAACGAGGGGCAAUCAUUAGAGAAGAUGGAAAUGAAAACAAAUAUUGGGAAGCAGUUAGACGCUGGGAAUUGGGAUUUAGCAAGGAGUGAUUAGAGAUGGGGCAAAGAAUCUGAGAGCAGAGAACAGUGUAGAGUUGAAAUGGUUCACUAAAAGAGAUCAAGAUUGGGAAAGAAGGUGAGUGUAGUUAGGUAUGAUGGCCUGGGGAAAUAAUGAGCAGUUGAGGAACUAGAAUUCACAGUGAGGAAGAACUGAAUUAUAUGUGUGUCAAAAGGCAAAGGAAAAGAUGUAAUGAUAAAUGAUUUAUGAUCAAAUAAAUGAAUUUUUGAGCCCAAGAAAAUCAAAGUGGAGCAUUUGUGAUUGAUGUGAAUAUCAAGGGUAUGUGACCCUGAGUAUAGUUGAGAUAUAGAAGACUGGAUAUGGGAAUGGAGUUGAUUGAGGAACUGGGAAAUUAUGAUAUUAGAGGGCAACAUCAGUAUUCAUGCUUAAGUCCCCUAAUAUGAGGGCAAGAGUUGGGGUCAGAAAGUGAGGCUGGGUACUAGACUCAUUGAAGUAGGAGGGAGAAUGUCCUGGGUGAGGUAUAAGGGUUGGUAGAUUACAGCUACCAUGAUCUGAAUUGGGUGAUAGAUUUGAUAAUAUGAACCUUAAAAGAAGAGUGGUUGCUGGAUGAUGACGGUAGAGAAAAUAUGGAAAUGGCAGUGGGAACAAGGAGUAUUCCAACUAUCCUUUUGAAAAUAGUAAGUUGGAGGUAUGAGAGAAAGUGUAACUAGUACUUAAAGUGUGACCUGAAUCAAUGUCUUUAAGAGGGAGUUAGAUUGUCAGGGCUCAGUGAAUGACAGAAGAUUGAAGGAGUAAGAAAGAGAUUUAAAAUGAAAGAAAAAAUGAAAUUAUAAAAUGGGAAUUUAGAGACAAAGUUAAGAGGCAGACAGAUCUGGAUUGGGUAAUUGGUAGGGCAAGGUGGAUGGAAAUAAGAGAGUGGACAGCUGGUUGGGGAUUAUUAACUAUGGAGGAAUGAGUCCAAUAGAGUAUCAGUGGAUGGAAAGAGAUCUGUUGAGGGAAGCAGAUGAUUAGAAGGUUCAAGGUUGUCCUUUGAGGCCUGAUUUCAUGGUAAAUGGUAUUGUGUCCCGUGAGGUUUUGGGAGGACUGUUUCACAGCAGGCAGGAGCAGAAGGAGGUAAGUCACAAUGUGUCUGAGAGCCUGAUCAGGUGAUACAAGGGGAGGGUCUGGCACUGAGGUGCAUUUAGGGACCCCUGGAAGUCACUAGAGAGACAGAUAGGUUUACAGCACACAGACAUGGAGUAAGUUGGCUGGUAGCCAGUGGUACAGCUAUUGUGGUCCUGAUGUACAUGGCUAAAUUUUCUCAAGAGUUAUGGAGAAAGGACUCCAGUUUGCAAAACCUUAUUUCUCGAAAUUUUAUACUCUUUGGGCAGUUCUGGGGAGAAUGUCUCAGAAUCAUUCCCAGGCUCCUUGUUCCCACAUUAUCUACAUCCUUAUAUACAGACCACAUCAGCAUAUUCCCAUCCACAUUCCUAUAGUCUUGUUUUUUCAGCAGUUAUGGUAUUUGUUGUCCUUGUUGCCCUUGUUCUAUUCUGCCACAUUGUUACAGGUCCAGGGGCUUGGCAGGGUGAGAGAGGACCACUAUUCCAAGCAUCCAGGGAAUUAGGCAAGAGAUAUUGGCAGCCUUCUUGCCAAAGUCCCUCAAGCUUUGCUUGGCUAUAUCCUUGGCAGUGCCCAACUUUGCUCCAGGACUUUGGAAUACAAUAAGUCAGUAGGCGCCCAGGUGCCUCUCCCUCUGAUGCAUACCUGUUUUCCCCCUGUUCUACGGGGAUAUUCUGGGAAUAUCCAAGCCACAAAGUUGGGGGAGAGGGUUGGCCCCAAAUGAGAGAUCAUAUGCUCAUCUUUAUCUUCUCCUUCCUCCUCCCUCUGAAAGGAUGAAGCCCAGAGUUCUCUCUCCAUUCAUUUCCCUCUCCCUAGACAUUCCAAUCCACAAAACUAACCCUGUGUGCUCAGUGAAACAGAACAGGAAGUGGAUGGCCGGAGAAGGUCCAGGGCAGUGGGCUUCCAGCUCCAUCAGAGGGAUACCUCGGAGCUAAGCCAGCAUGAAAUAUUCAUGCAGUAAAUGGUGCAAUUUUGUCUGCAUUCAGCCAACUUCAUGUAUAUUUCAGUAUAUUAUGAAAUGAUAAUGUUGUGCAACAGAGGCAAGCUGGGCCAGGAAAGCCAGGGGGUAGGAGUGGAGCAUAAUGGGAGGGUAUGGGGUUAUGGUUGGGAUAGCGGUGAAGUGAAGGGUCCAGGGCUGUUCCCACCUUCCUACAUCUCUAAAGGCUCCAGGGGAGGGAUGACACAGGAUAGAUAUUGACAGGCCAGGCAUAGUUCCAUCCUUUAACCUCUAGAACUCUGAGUUGGUUACUACCUCCCCAACCCCCACUUCUAGCAGCACCAAAGGCACAGGCUGAGAUGUACUCCCUAUUACUAAUGUAUGAAGGGAGUAUUGGCUGUUCCUGCACACAUGCUCUGGCUGCUUCUGCUUUCUUCUAUAAUCUUCUCUGUCUCCGGUUUCAGACGAUAGUCUUUCUGAGGGCUGGUGCCGAUUCAGCAUUGGUCUUCCUCUCCAGUCUCUCAGAAGACCUGCUAACUCCUGUUGAUUGACAGCUGCUCCUGGCGCAAGAUGCCCCAAAUCAAGUCGCAUUUCUUCCUUGGCUCAGUGAACAGGAGGGGACCACCUCUUUACUUAUCUCUCCCCCAUCCCCUAAUCUGUCUCUAACUGUUUUAAUUUCAUUUUAAUUUUUCUUUUUUUUUCAUGGCCAGAUUUAGACUUUACUUAAGUCUUCAAAUGUGUGAUAGGCACUGGUGAUACAAAGAUAAAAACAAAUAGUUCUUGAUCUCUAGGAGCUUAUUAUGUUCUGUAGGAUGGGGACACAACAUGUACACAGACAAGCAAAUAAAAAUAUCUCCUCUUCCACUAGUUCCCUGAUGGGGAAAUUCCCUGCACUAAUGAAGAUCUGCAAUCAUUCUUCAGAAUACAGUCUUGGAGUGGGUAUACUAAGAGAUUGAGUGACUUGCUCAGGGUCGUACAAGCCAGUAUGUAUCAGAUGCAGAAUUCAAACUCAAGCUUUUCUGUCUCUGAAACCUCUCCACAAAUACGAAAUAUAAUAAAAAUAAAUAGAAAGUAAUUGGGUAGGGUGGGGAGCAGGACUGAUUCCUGAGGAUAAGCAGGACAGGUCUUUUGUUGAAAGUAGUACUUCAGCUGAGAUUUCCAAGAGGUAGGGAAGUCUAGCAGUAAGGAAUUUGGUGGUGGUUCCUUCCUUUGAAAAAAUAAUUGCUCCCCCCCUCCCCCGCCAUGCAUAGGGAGGGAGAGUUCCACUUUUGGUUUUACCAUCAAAUUCCUAAAACACUAGGUUUGGAAUUCAGCUGCAGUGGUGACAAUAGUCAGGAGCUCUGACUUCAAAUUCUGGUCACCUACCUUUAUGAUCCUGGUGGGUAACUCCAUAUCUCUCUGGGUCCCAUUUUCCCCCAUUUGUAAUAUGACUAGAUAAUCCUUAAGAUAAUAAUAGUUAAUACUUAUAUGGUGCUUUAUAUACUUUUAUGAAAGUUUAUAUCAUAUUAUCUCAUUUAAUUCCCCACCUUUUACAUAUGAGGAAAUUUGCCCAGGGCCAUACAUCUAAUAAAAUGUGGCCAGUAAGGUAGGAUUUAAAAUCGUCUUUUUUUUUUUUAAUUAAAUAAAUAAAUAAAAAAAUUAAAAUUAAAAAAAAAACAAAAAAAACCCUUGCCUUCUGUUUUAGUAUGGGUUCCAAGACAGAAAAUCAGUAAGGGUGAGGCAACUUCAGUUAAGUGACUAGCUGGAAUAACACACCUAGGAAGUAUCUGAGGCCACAUUUGAACCCAGGACCUCCUGCCUCUGGCCCUGGCUCUCUUUCUACUGUGCUUACCUAGCUGCCCCUCAAGGCUUCCUAUCCCCAAGCACAGUAUUCUUCCCACUGUGCAAUCUUUUGUUGUUGAAUCAGUUUCGGUUGUGUCUGAUCCCUUUUGAGGUUUUCUUGGCAGAGAUACUGGAGUGGUUUGCCAUUUUCACUCCAGCUCAUUUUCCAGAUGAGAAAAUCGAGGCAAAUAGGGUUAAGGGAUUUGCCCAAGGUCACAUAGUUAGUAAGUGUCUGGGGCUGGAUUUGAACUCAGGUCUUCCUGACUCCAGCCAGAUCCACUGUACCACUUGCUUGUUUCUGAAAUCUUUUAACCAUCAGAACAUCUCUGAGUAAGCGGGGUAGCAUAUACUUCCUCAAUUUCUCAUGCGGCAAGGUGCCUGGCUCUCUUUUUGAGUUGCUCUGAAUUUGUGAUUCCUACCUAGCUGAAACAUUACCUGCCUAUUUAGUGUAUAUAUAGCCCCCAUAUUCCUUCUUCCUCUACCUCUUAGAUAUUUUGGGUCUCAAUCUUCUGUUGCUCAUUCUUUUGUGACAUAGCUUCUCUGCUCCCAUCCUUUUAAUGCCUGGACAAUGGGAUCCUCCAGCCCUUGUAUUAUUUGGAGUGGGGUGAAUUACAUACAUGUAAAUAUGUAUAUAUUUCUUGCCAGGGUCUGUGAUUUCACUGGUACAAGGAGAAAACUCCUUUUACUGAUGAAGAUCUGCACUUGUUCUGCCAAAUAUAGUCUUGGAGGCAAAUAAAUAGUGCCUAAUUGUGAAAAUAUAAUGUCCAACUUCCCUUAGUGGAUAGUAGAUGAAAACGAAGAACCAUUUGCCUGAGAUCCUGCUUCUCCUACUAAGCCAGUGCUCCUUUCCCUACCAUAGUCCAGGCUUCCCCAGAAUCCUGAGUUGGGUCUGUUAUUGCCGUCUUGUUGCUUCCUACGAAUGGGGGUGGUGCUGGUGUUGUGUAAGAGCUCUGUUCAAGCAAUCCUGGGGAUUUGGCUGGGGUCUAGGACAACAUCAGCCUACCAAAUAACUACCACACACAUUCUCAUUUGUUCUCUCUUUGUCUCUCUCUCUGUCUCUCUCUCUCCUCUCAUUUUCUGUCUAAAUACCAAUACUAUUGGUUCUAAGGCAGAAGAGAGGUACGGUCUAGGCAACUGGGGUUAAGUGACUUGUCCAGGGUCAUACACCUAGGAAAUGUAAGGUUAGAUUUGAAACUAGGACCUCCCUUCUCCAGACAUGACUCUCUAUCCACUGAACCUUCUAGCUGCCCCUCACCUCCCAAAUAACAAUAUUAAGUAUACAAAAAGCAAUGAAUUUGGAGUUAGAGGACUUGGUUUGACUACCAGCUAUGCUAUUUAUGACUUAUAUGAUAUUUGGGGAAGUCCCUUCUUACCUCUGGGUAAGGAAACCUGAAUUUCCUUAUCAGUAUAAUGAAGAGGUAAGGCUAUAUAAUUUCUAAUAUCUUUUCCAUUUGCAAUUCUUGUUUUUGCUUUUAUUUUUUAGGAAACUUUUAGAAGAUCCAGAACCUAUAUGAUAUCCCUAGGCUCCUGGAGUGGGAGUGGCUGGGAGACAAUAUCACCUACCAUAAAUGACACCUUCCCCCCAAACUGCUAAUGGGAAGAGAUCCUUCUGAGGGUGUCCCAGAGAGAUAACAAGUCAAACACUAGGCCACUCUUAAAGCUGCAGUGAGCAUUAUUGUUCUGGUCGUGUCUGGUUCUAUACUGCUCACAGGGUUGAGAAAAGCUUUCAUUGCUGGAAAAAACACAGUGUCUGUCUGCAGCUUUACCUGGCCUGUGUCCUACUUCAGGUACUGUUUGAUUGGAUGCAGUCAGGGAAGCUGGAAGCAAGUGACCCAAGCUGGUGCAAGUGUUUCGAAUAGAGGUGAUCUAUCUAUGGUGCAUCACUAAAUGCCACCUGAGGCUGCUGGCAAUGGCUCUUUUCCAUUCUCUACCAUUUGUGCCCAUUCAUUCUUCUCUUUCUUGUUCUUUCUUUCUGUCUCUCUGUCUUCUCUCUCCUCAUUCCUCCAGCCCCAAUCUCAUCUUACAGUAUGAGCUUUUCUCUCUUCCAGUUUUCAUUCUGCCUAUGGCUUAAGUCUGACUACAUGACCAAGCGUUUCUUGGCUGCUAGAGAUCUUCCAACUUAAAACAUGCUUGAAUUUGGCCUAGAGUCUUUCUUUUUGCUAUAUAGGCGAGGACAAGAGUCUGGCUGAACCUGCUUUGUCUUUGUUCCCUGAUGCAGUUUGAGUGCUUCCUCAUCCCCCUUGCUCUCAGUAUGGAAUCAUCUUGGAGAAAGUCACAGCCACCGGGGACUAAUUAGAGGACUCACCAAUACCCCCUUAGCAAAGGGCUAGGGCACAUCCAUGGGAGGUGUCCUUGCCAACAUAUGUCCAUGCUCUAUAAAAAUUCACCAAGUCAAAUAGAUUAGAGCCUCUCCUAAUCAGGACCAUUAAACUCUCCCUUCUACCAUUAAAUAUUUGUUAUCCUGACAAAUCAAAUUGAGAUAAUUCUAAACUCAUUGGUUCAUAAUAGUUCUCUGAGGACCUGAGGAGGGUCAAGCAUCAACUUAAAAUUUUUUUUAAUUUAAAUUUUUUUAAUACUUUUAUUCAAAGAUAUUUUGUUUUCCCAAUUAUAUAAUAUCAAUUUUCAACAUGUUUUCCAAAAUUAUAAGAUCUAAAUUGUCUUCCUCUCUUCCUCCCCUACUAGCUCAGAGAUGGUAUGCAAUUUGAUCUGGGUUAUACAUGUAUUAUCAUGCAGAACAUACUUCAAUAUUGGUCAUUGUUGUAAGAGAAUUCUCACAUAAAGUCAUAAUUCCAAAAUAAAACCAUAAGUAAACUAAAGUAAAAAAUAGUAUGCUUUGAUCUGCAUCUAACUCCAACAGUUCUUUCUCUUGCUUUUUCUGAAAUCAUCCUGCUUAUCAUUUCUUAUGGCACAAUAGUAUUCCAUCACCACUAUAUACCACAAUCUGUUCAGCCAUUCCCCAAAUGAUGGAUAUCCCCUCAAUUUCUAAUUCUUUUCCACCACGAAAAGAAUUGUUAGAAAUAUUUUUGUGCAUGUAGGUCCUUUCCCUUUCUUUGUGAUCUUUUUGGUAUACAGACCCAGUAGUGGUAUUACAGGAUCAAAGGAAAGGGUAUGCACAUUUUUAUAUCUCUUUGGGUGUAGUUCAAAAUUGCCUUCUAGAGUGGUUGGAUCAGUUCACAACUCCACCAACAAUGCAUUAGUGUCCCAAUUUUGCGAAUGUAGCACGAUUCUUGAUUGCCUCUUGAGUUUCAUGCCCUGAGUAAUAGAAAGAUCCAUGCAGCACAGUUCUUAGAUGCUUCAGAAUUCAAGAACUAUCACAGCUUGUUAGGCUGGAGAUUAUACUCAAAUACAUAAUCAUAAAAAUUCAACUGGCUAAAAAACCAAAUUGACAAAGUUCAGCUUCAUGUCCUACCCAUCUUGUAAAUAAACUUUUUAUUUGCUAAGGAAUUAAUUGGCCACAACUAAAAUUUUUCUUUUAAUCUUUUUCUGUUCUCAAUACCCCCAAGGAUGAUGUAUUUUUUUGACCCCAAAUAGUCCUCAACACAGUCUCUUGCAAAACUCAAAGAAAAAAAGUAAAGAACAUUUUGCUUAUUUGAGGUUCACAGACUGAUUUCUCUUGGGCAGUGGGGUUAGUAUUAAUAUUGUAGCUGUGGCUAAGUGUUUGAAAGGCUCUACAUAGUUACUAAGAUUUUCUAGGUGUAAGGUCAGAAGAAUCAGAAGUCAACCUGGGUGGAGGGGAAGGAAAAAACCUUUUUUAUGAGAGACAGAAGAGGGAUAAAAUUUCUCAAUGACAGGGGCCCAUGUGCCAGAGCAUUCCUUUCUUCAUUCAUUUAUGGAAUCAUAAAAUCUUAAUGAUAGGAGGGAUCUUAGAGAAAAUCUUCCCCCAGAGAACAUCCUAGUCAGUGUAAGGAUGUCCUUUAUGAUCUUCCUCAUAAGGACCAAUAUGGGUCCCUGUCUUAGAUACUUUUUCAUGAGAUUUUCCACUCAAAUCUCAAUGCUGUGUUUCUGUGUCCAAACUCCUACCUUAGUAACUGUGCCUAGGAUUCUACCACUAUUUAUGUAACCUUAGGCAAGUCACUUAAUAGACUGAAGGAAAAAGUACCUAUUACUUAUUUCAGGUCAAGCCCUUUGCUAAGUAAGCGCUAGGAAAACAAACAGGAAAAAGAAUUUUCAUGAGACUUCCUUUUCCUUGUUCCCCUCCUACACUGAUGACCUCUGCUUCUUAGUUCCUUUUGCUGGUAUAUCCCACUGUACUCUUUGGGGUCUCUUCUCUUUACUUGAGAUUCACUCUUAUUGAUCUCAUCAGUUCAAAUGAAAUCAAUUAUUAUUAUCUCCUUGCCCAUGACUCCCAGAUCUACAGAAAUCACUAAUUUCCACAGGGCCAGUUCUUCUUCACCAGCUGCUACCUGGAUGUCCAAAAGACAUCUUAAACUGGACCUGUCCCAAAGUAGAAAAUAGAUUCUUUCUCUCUAAUUUCUCUGGUUCUGUUGAGGAAACUACUAUCCAGCAACCCAGGUUCACAAUAUAGGAACCAACCUCAACUCCUGCUACCUCACUAUUUGUCAAAUCUUUAUUUGCUACAACAUCUCACAUUUAGCUCCUUAUUUCCACUCACAAUGCUAUCAACUUAAUUCAGGCCUGUGUUGCCUUUCCCCUGGAUUACUGCAAUACAUAGCAAUUAUUAAUUGGACUUGCUGAUUCCAACCUCCUCUCUCUCUAAUUGAACCUCUAUACAGCUACUAAAUAGAUAUUCUGAAAGCAAAAGUCUAACCAUGUCACUCUUUAAGAAAUUUCAGUGGCUCCCUAUUGCCUUUAUGAUAAAAUACCAAUUUCUGUUUCUGGCAUUCAGAAUCCUUCUAGCCUGUUCCAACUUAUCAUUACAAACUGACUUCAUAUUAUUAUACACUUCAUGUUCCAGCUAAACUAGAUGCUGCCUGCUUUCCUUUGUUCACAACAUUUCAUCCCUUCUUUUGUACCUUUGUAUAUAUACUGCCCUCCAUGUCUGAAAUGCUUCUCCCUACAUUUCUACUUUGUUAAAUUCCUAACUACUUCUACAUAAGGCUCUUCUUGAUCCCACUACCUCAAGUUAUUUGUGCUCCCUUCCCGGGAAAUCACUUCAUAUUUAGUUUGUAAAAAGUUUGUAUUUUCAUUUCUAUAUGUGUUAUUUAACUUUAGUAGAAUAGAGUUUCAUCUUUAUCUUAGUCUCAAACCCUUUGCUUGACUUGAGAGUAAUUGGUGACAGACUGUAGGAAAAAGUACUUAUUACUUAUUUACUUCAGGCCAAGUUCUAUACUAAGCACUAGGAAAACAAAUAGGAAAAAGACGUGAUCCCCAUUCUCAAGGAGUCAAUACAUAAUGUAGGAUUCCAGUUCAUAUUUACUUAAAUUCCCUUGACCUCAGGAAGAUGAACAAAGUGGAAGAGAUUGUCUCUAAAAAUGUACUUUUUAGCCUGAAAUUGUAUGACCUUCCUUUUGUUGUUUCUUCUACAAACUGGAUCUCUGUUCUAUCCCCAGACCCUGUGGUUGAGUCCCAGCAUGCUCAAAAGGAAUUCCUUCUACUUUUGUCUCAUAUAAGUAGAGACUUGCAAGGGACUUCAGUGAUAGGACCUCAUUGUCUUCUAGUUCAUUCCACUUAAGCAUAACUUUCAUUUUUUGGAAGUUUUUCCUAUUCUGGAAAUCUGCCUCUGCAAAUUUAACUAUCAUCCCUAUCCUCAGUUGUGCUCUGUGGAGCCUAGAACAAUUUAAAACUUUUUUUCCAUCUGACAGCUCAACCUCCCUGAUGACUCAAAUCCCAUUUCAGUUUUUCUUCUAGGACCUUCCAAAGAAGAUUCUUUGCCCCACUGUGGCACAUUUGUUUCAUCUCAAAGUCUUAGCCAUCCUUGGUCUUCUGCCAAACUCCCCCAAUGACAAGUUUUAUUCCCUCUUCUAGAAGAAAACUCCUUUUCAAUAUUUGAGGACAGUUAUCAACUGCCCCCCCCCUCUCAUUUUUCCAGGCUAAAUAUUUAUAGUUCCUUCAAUGAUUUAUUUAUUAGAACCCUUACUUUUUGUCUUAGUAACAACUCUAAGGCAGAAGGGCAAAGGCUAGGCAAACAGGGUCAAGUGACUUGCCCAGGUCACACAGCUAGGAAGUGUUUGUGGCCAGAGUUGAACCCAAGUUCUCUUGACUCUAGGCCUGGUGCUCUAUCCAUGUGCUACCUAGCCGCUCUUCAAUUCUUUAUAUGAUAUGAUUUCUAGAAUCCUUAUUAUUGUGGUCACCUUCCUUUGGAUAAUUUUUUGGGGGCCUUAAUUUGCCAUUUCAUUCUCUAUGGGGAACUCUUAGCAUAAAACUCUAUUAAUGAAGGCUAAAAACAUAUGUAACUAUAGACUUAGAGGAUUGACUAGAGGCUUGAGAUGUUAAAUAAUAUAUCUAGGUCUUCCCAGCAAAUAUGUGUAUAAGGAAAGACUUAAAUGCACAUCUUCUUGUCUCUGUGCCUAGUCCUCUGCCAUGCUUUGUUUGUUGAUAUCCCUGUUAAAAUAUGGUACCCACACCUGAAUCUAGAUGAAAUCUAACAAGGGCACCUAAAACACUCACAGUCAUGCAGAGAGCAGAGAAAAGAGCUCAAAAAUACUCCAGGCUACAUUCCAAAAAGCAGGGUAGGUGGAAAAAGUGCUAAAUCUGGAAUUAGGAAGCCUGGGAUCAACUGUUGGCCUUUAAGUCACUUUGUCUCUCUGGGUCUCAGUUUUUUCAUCUGAAAAAAAAUUAGGGUAAUAAUAGUUAUUCUCCCUAUCUCACAAAGUUCUUAUGAAAAAAGUACUUUGUAAACUUACCAUCAUUAGCAUGAGUAUCACCAUUAAAUUAUUCUAACCCAGGGUGGUCUAAGCAAUGCCCACUAGUGCUGGUAAGUGCCAACAGAGUAAAGAACAAAGGAGGAUAGUGGGGAAAGGACAGGAAAUAUCAAGGAGUAGGAGCAGAAUCUAGGGAAAAGAUAAAGGAAAGAAAAGCACAUGUAGCAAGAAAUAAGAGAAAAAAAUUUAACAAUUGUUUCAGAAGUGGAGCCAACUGGGUCCCCAAGUCUUAGAGGGCUCCUCAUUAUUAGGAGCUAGAGACAGGCCAUUGGAAAUGAAUCAGGAAGUCAAAAAGUUCUAAAUAAGAGGGAGAAUGUUCCUACUAUCUGGUAUAAAAAAAUGACUUGAAUCUUAUUUACAUACACAGCCCCUCUAUCCAUCCCCAAGUCAAAUAGAUAGUCUUGCUUCUCCCUUUAGCUUACUCCUCAGGUUGUAUGUUUACCCUUUAGGACUUCCUUUUUGCCUUGAAGCUGUCCUAAUUGUUUAUUUUAUUUUACUUUACUUUUUUAUUUGAGGCCAGCAGGGUUAAGUGAUUUGUCCAGGGUCACGCAGUUAGUAAGUGUCUGAGACCAGAUUUGAACUUCUUGACUUCUUCCUGACCUUAAGGCCAGUGCUCUAUCUACUGUCACCUAGCUGCUCCUAAUUGCUCAUUUUAACUGAGAAUCCAAAAUUUCAAUAUUCCAAUGGACCUGUUAUCUUAUAGAUACAUGUAUUUUCUCCAGCUAUGCAGAUGAAAAUCUGUUAGUGCAGGAACACAUUUUUGUGACUCUUGACCAUGUCCUCUUACAUAUAAGCCACAGGAGCCCACUCAACUUUCUGGGUCUACUCCUCUUGUUUUAUUGACAUUAAAUGGAUAAGAGUAGGAGUGUACUGAGUCAAAGAAACAAUCACCCCAUCCUACUUAAAGUAACUAACAAGAUAUUCAUAAUAUCUUUAUCAGGUGAGAAAAACUUUAUUGAACCAAUUGAAGGCACUAAACUAAUAUGCACUAUCAUUCCCUGGAUAUCUUUUUAUAAAAUAACAAAUCAGUUUAGAACCCUGCAUUAUUGAGACAUUCAGCAACCUAGAGUGUCCUUCUGGGUGAAGAGAGAAAAGGAGUUUCUGCCUCAUCUUCCUUCCUCCAUCCUUGACAAGAGCAUGGUCAAAAAUUUUGUAUUUCUCAUUGGCAACCCGUGUCCCUGAAAUGGCACUGUAUGGGAGGUAGCACUGUCUGCACAGAGAGCCAACAACAGAUUCAACACAUUGAGGAAAGGCAGCUAUAGGAUUCUAUAAAAAGCCAAACAAUUAUACCAUACCUGUGGGGAACAUUGUGGGAAGUGUACAAAGGGAGAAAAGGACUUCUGGCAAUCAGAAGAUGUAUGUUACUCCCUUCUUCUCUUAAGCACAUGAACUAGUCUACCCUGGUUUCUCCCAGAUUUUGCAUUUACUUUUUGGAAAGUUCAAAGGAAUUCUUUGUACCAACUGUUCUUACUACCCGGGCCUAGGAAAUAUCUAUUUCUAAAAGCUGAUUAAGUUUCUCUGGCUAAUUAAUAUCAUAUAUAUGAUUUAAUGGGAAUACAUUGUUUGGGGUUAGAAAUCUCCUAAAGGGACAGUGUAUGUGCAGUGGAUUGAGAGCCUUCAGUGGAUUGGGAGCCAGGCCUAGAGAUGGGAGGUCCUGAGUUAAAAUCUGGCAGUCUCAGCCUUUAUUGCUCUUAUGGCUUGGAACCAAUAUACAGUAUUUAUUCCAAGAUGGAAAGGGUUAGAAAUGUUUCUCAUAUCCCCCUCUGUUAAUAUUAGAAAUCUUAAGAGAGAAGAAAAUAAUUCUAUCCAUAGGCAGCCUUUGGGGAGUAAAGAUGAAAAUAAUUAAUAUUAAUAAUAAUUUGCAUUCAUAUAGCACCUACUAUGUGUCAAGCACUGUGCUAAUGCUUUACAAAACUGUUUCUAGGUCUUUCUUUUACAAUUAUUAUACAUUUUAUUCCUUAUAACAACCCUGGGAAGUAGGUACAUUUAUUUUCUCUAUUUUACAGUUGAGGAUACAAUCGAUCAGUGGCUAAGUGACUUGCCAAAGGAUACACAGAUAGUGAAUUUUUGAGGCCAGAUUUUAACUCAAGUCUUCCCAACUCCAGGCCCAGCUAAUCUAUCUUACUGGUGAGAUUUGGGGUUGGGAAUAUGUGUUAUACAUGAAGCUAAUGCUGACACCUGGGCAUUCAUCAGUUAUUCAUCUUACCCAUAAUUACUGUUCCCAGUUCUAUACUCUAGGGGUCAAGGAGUUUUCUCCCCAGCCAUUCAUUAUUCUCUGAAUAUCAUGACUUGCAAAUCACUUUCAAUGCCACCAGAAGACUACUUUAUUUUUAAAAAAUCUUAGGGGGCAGCUGGGUAGCUCAGUGGAUUGAGAGCUAGACCUAGAGAUGGGAGGUCCUAGGUUCAAAUCUGGCCUCAGACACUUCCCAGCUGUGUGACCCUGGGCAAGUCACUUGACCCCCAUUGCCUAGCCCUUACCACUCUUCUGCCUUGGAGCCAAUACACAGUAUUGACUCCAAGAGGAAAGGUAAAGGUUUAUUUUUUUUAAAAAUCUUAGCUUUUAUUUUGGGGAAAUGCAUGGAGUAAUGAAAAGAACUGUACAACUUCCCAAAAGAACUGUACAGUCCACUUCAAUCUGCUCCCUUUAUGUAAUUUAGCAAGUUAAUUUUCUGUUUUCAAUGUCUGUCUAAGAUGUAUCUUAUUAAUUAAUGAUAUUUAUAGAACAGCCAUUCAAUUGCAUACCACAUCGUAGGCAAUAAAUUUUUUUCAUCCAUUUGUUUUUUCUUGUGUGGAUAGGCCAAACUCAAUGGUCUGAUUUGUAGAAAUGUUCAAGUUGAUGCACAAUGUGAUUUUCUCUAGAAGCUGAAUUCCAUAAGUGACAAUCUUGUUCAGGUAUAAACACAAUACUAACAACCCCCCCAUUUUAUAUAGCACUUCACUUAUAAAAUGUCUUCUUUACAAAAAUUUUGUGAAAUAGGCAGAGUAGAUAUAAUUAUCUCCAUGUUAUAGCUGAGAAACCCCAAAACUCAGAGAGGUGACAGGAUUUGCUCAUGAUCACACAGCUAACAACUGUUGGAUUUGAUAUUUGUGUUUCAAUUUUCUGGCUCUAGGUACAGUGUGCUCUCCUUUCUAUGUACCAUCCUACCCUAACUCCCAUUCCAAAAUAGCAAAAUCUUUUCAUUCAAAGAUAGGAAUAAUUAGCUAAAUUUGAACAUAAGUUUUACUAUGUUAUUUGGCAAAUAAUGGGACAAGUUAUCUGAAGUAUUGAUUGGAAGCCAGGAAGUCUUUAGUCCUAAUUAUCAUCAGCUACUAAUGUUGAGAAAGAAAGUGCCCAAUGUCAGAGAGUAUAAAAGGUAGAUCCAAGGAGUUGCAAAUUGAUCCAACCAUUCUAGAAAGCAAUUUGGAACUAUGUCCAAAGGGCUAUAAAACCAUGCAUACAUACCCUUUGACCCAGCAAUAUGACUAUUAGGUCUAUAUCCCAAAGAGAUAUUUUAAAAAGCUAAAGGACUUAUGUGUACAAAAAUAUUUAUAGCAGCUCUUUUUAUGGUGGCAAAGAAUAGGAAAAAUGAGAGGAUGCCUGCCAAUUGAGGAUUGAUUGAACACAUUUUUGUAGUAUAUGAUUAUGAUGGAAUGAAUGAGAAAUGACAAGUGCAAUGGUUUCAGAAAAACCUGGGAAUGCCUACAUGAACUGAUGAAAAGUGAAAUGAGUGGAACUAGGACAACAUUAUAUACAAUAAUACUGUUUUAUGAUGAUCAACUGUAAAUGACUUAAUUAUUUUUAGCAAUACAAUGAUUUAAGACAAUUCCAAAGGACUUGGGAUAAAAAAAUGCUCUUCACCUCCAGAGGAAAAAAUUGAUGGAGUCUAAAUGCAGAUCAAAGCAUACUUUUAAAAACUUACUUUCUUUUUUUUGGGGGGGUCUGUUUCUUUUGCAAUAUAGCUAAUAAGGAGAUGUGUGACUGCAUUUAUAUGGUAUAUAUCAAAUUGCUUGUCUUCUCAAUGAAUGAGAUAGGAAAGAGAAAUAGGAAAUUAGAUAGGAAAUAGGAAAUAGAUAGGAAAUGAGAAGGAAAGCAAGAAUUUGGAACUAAAAGUUUUGAAGAACAAAUGUUAAAAAUUGUUUAACAUGUAAUUGGGGAAAAAAAGAAGGUAAAACCAAGAAUCAAACCCAACUCUUUUGAUUGGAUUCAAAGAAAGGAUACGUUAGAUGCUAUAAUCUAAAAUUCUAUAGAGGUAGUCACUACAAGAAAGAAAGAAAUUCUUUCUUAAGGAAAAAUUGCUGAAGCUACACACAGAAACCAUUCUGAUGAGAAAGGAAAGGAGAAACUGUCGAAAGAGAGGAGAGGGGAUUCUUCUACCAACUUAGUUAAAAAAAUAUUGUAUAGAAGAUGUAAGCAAGGUCAAAUAAAGGAAAAUGAAUACAAAAGAGUGACACAAUCUUUUAAUAAUAGUGUCAAGAGGACUAAAGAAUAGAUUGAACUAAGCUCAGUGAUUAGUGCUAAAGAAAAUAUAAAGGCCCCUUUUAUCUAUGUUGGGCAAGGGGGAAAGGGAAGAAAGAAUAAAGACUGCUGCUAGGGUGGAUGAAAUGGCUUCAAUUCAACAAACAUUUGUUAAGUCCAUACUAUGUGCAAUGCAUAGGGAUAUAAAGACAAAAUGGAAAUGUCUCUCUUCUCAUGGAACUCACAUUCUACUGAGAGGGAAUACCAUAUUUGCAUCAGAUAUUAAAGUGCAAUACAAUUUGAGAAGAGGGAGACAGUACUAAGGGGAUAAGGAAAAGCUUCCUAUAGGAGAUGGCAAUUGAUCUGAGGUUUCUAAGAAAGCUAAAUAUUGUAAGAGGAAGAAAUGUAGAAGAAACAUAUUAUAGUCCUGUUCCAAGACAUAGAAGUAAAAGGAGAUGGGAUGCUUCGUUCAGUAAUGUAGAACAGUUGAUCUGAAGAGAGAUAAUAAAAAUAAGUAUGGAAAAGCUGGAGAUAUAGUUAGAAUUUGAAGGACUUUAAGUACCACUCUGAGGAGUUUGUGUUUUAUCUCAGAGGCAAUAGAGAGACCCUGAAGAUUCUUGAAUAGGAGAACAGCAUAUUCAGACAUGAUUUAGGAAGAUUAUUUAGCCAGCUGUAUGAAGGAUGGAUUAGAGAGGAAGGAGAGAUGAGAAGCAGCAAGACCGAUUAGGAGACUACUUCAGUAAUCCAAGCAAGCAGUACAAAGAGCCUAAACUAGGACUGUGACCACCCUCAAAUGGUGAAUGGAGAGAAGGGGACAGAAGUGAGUGAUAUUGUUCAGGGAGAAUUAGUAAGACUUGGUAAUUUAUGGAUAUAGUGUGUAUGAAAGUGAGUGAAAAGUGAAGAAUGAGUUCACUUGAAGCAUAAUAGAUUUUGCCCCAGCAUCUUAUUUUAACUCUGUAUGGAUAUUUAUGCUUAAAAUAUAUAUGUUAUGAAUAAGACACUGAAUAUAUUUUGUAUGACUUCAAAUAUAUAAUUGAUAUAAAAUUUCUUGCCUUCUUUAAGAGGGGAGGGAUGGGAGAAAGAAGUGAAUUUGGAACUAAAAAUUUUAAAAAUGAUUGUUAAAAAUUUAUAUACAAUUAUGAAAUAUCUAAUGAAAUACAUAAAAAUGAUAAAAACAAAAAACAAAACAACAUAUUGUUAGAUUUUACUUUCUAAUCCAUUCUUCUUUCCUCUUCUGUUUCAUAGGUGAGUUUAUGCCAUUCACAGUCAUCGAUAUGAUUGUUAAUUAUGUAUUUUCUUCUAUCUUUUCUCUUAUCCAUUUUUUAUCUUUUUGCCCAAACAUAUUCCACUCUUUACAAAGAAGAAAGUAGUGAAAGGGAAAUGAGCUUAAAACUAGUGACCUACUACCGAAGUGCUGUUUCUACCUCUCUUUGCUUCCCCUUGCUCUAUCCCAGAUCAUAAAUUUUUAUUCUUUCUUUAUUCUUUUUUAAUGUUCCUGUCAUGGUCUACCCUCUCAUGCUGGAAUUUGUUUUGCUUAUGAAUAAUCCCUCACUGGAAAGGUUAAGAUGAUAUUGAAGGUAAAAACAUGGGUGACUGAAAGAAUGGUGGUAUCUCCAAUGGAAUUAGGGACAUUUUGGUUAAGGAGAAGGCUUGAAGGUGGGACAAAAUAAUGAGAUCCCCUUAGAGUUUGAGGUAUAUAAGGAACAUCCAGUUAGAGCUAUCCAAUAGGCAGUUAGCAAUGCAGGCCUGAACCUGAGGAAAUAUAUUAGAGAUGAAUAUUUAGAUGUGGGGAUUCCUUUGUAUAGAGAUGGUAAUUUGACUCUGUAGGAGCUGAUGAAGUAAUUGAGAACAGGUAUAAAGAAAAAAUUGACAAGGACCCAGGACCAACACCUACAUUUAAAGUAUGAUGAUCCAGCAAAAGAGUCUGAGAAGGAGAGGCCAGUCAGGUUCAAGAGAGUUGUCAUAAAAGCCAAGGGAAGGAAAAAAUAUGCAGGAGCAAGCCUGUAACAAAUUUUGCAGAAAGAUAAAGCAGAAGAAAGACUGAGAAAAGGAUAUAAGAUAUGGCAAUUAAGAAAUUAUCUCCCCCUUUGAAAGAAUGUUUUUAGUAGAGCGGAGGGAUCAGAAGCCAUGUUGAUUGAGGAGUAAAGAAAUGGAGAAAGUGUAGAUAGAAUUUGGCUGAUAAAGGGAAGAAAACUAUAAGACAAUAGUUUGUGGUUAAUGGCAGGGUGACAUGAAGAUUACUUUAUUUUGGAGGAGACUUGAGCAGGUAUGUAUGUGGCAGUGAAGGAGCUAGUAGAUAAAGAAAGAUUGGAGAGAAGAAGAGGAUGAUCAAAAGCUCCUAGAGGAGACAGGACAAGAUGAUUAAGGACACAAAUAGAAGAUUGGCUUUGCCAAUGAGUAGAAUCACCUAUUUUUCAGAUAUUUGGUAUACAGUAAAGGAGAGGACUAAAGAUGAAUAAUUUUUAUUUUCUCAACAGAUUAGGAGACAGAGUUCUAUGCUUAGAAGGAGUGGAAAACAGGCAAUUUAGGAGGCUUGAGGAGAGAAAAGGUGUGGAAUAACCACUAUAGAGAGUUUGAAAGAGAGUCAAUGAGGUGAGAAUGAAAGGAUUGCCAUUUCAUAGUAAGGAUUCAGUUAAGUUUAGAUAUAUUUAUAGUGUAUGCACUGUGCACAACUAUGUGACUAUCUCCACUAAGAUUAGGAGUAUUGAAAAAUAAUGGGAAUGCCUCAAUCAAGGAUGAGGUUUAUCAAUACAUGAGCAGUAGUAGGACAAGGUGGCAGAGAAUUCAAAGGGAGAAGAUAGUCUAUAUCUGUACUGGUUAAUUAUAGCCUCGAUAUUGCAAAAAGGGAGGACAAAGAGAAGUGAUGGAGUUACUAGAAUUUGUUGUAAGAAUGACAAAAGAUGAUGUGAAGAAAGAAAUACUCAUCUCUUAAGUUGUUUCUGUUUUCUCUGCCAAGAGAAAUAAUCUUCACAGUGUGAUGAAUGGAACAAAAAUCAGUCUAAAGGACUAAAACCAAGGAUUAGUGAAGAGUUGAUAAAAAGCCACCUACCUACCCUCAAUGAGUUCCAGUUAGCAGGACCACAUGAACUGCAUCUCAAGAUACUGAAAGAACUAGAAGAUAUUAUUGCUGAGUGAUCUCUGAAAGACUGUGGGGAAUGGAAGAUGUGCUUAAACACUAGAGAUAAUUUUUUAAAAACCUUACCUUCCAUCUUGGAAUCAAUACUGUAUAUUGGUUCCAAGGCAGAAGAGUGAUAAGGGCUAGACAAUGGAGGUGAAGUGACUUGUCCAGGGUCACACAGUUAGGAAGGUCUGAGGCCAGAUUUGAACCCAGGACCUCCUUUAUCUGGGUCUGACUCUCAAUCCACUGAGACACCCAGAUGCUCCAUAGAAAUAAUUUUCAAAAAAAAGGAAAGGAUGUGGAAUCCACCUUCAAAAAAAGGAAAGAAGCCAGUGAGUUUAAUUUCAAUUCCUAGCAAAACUUCAGAAUAUAUUAUUUAAAGGAUUAUUUUGGAGAGCUUAGGUAGGGAAGUAGUAAUCAUAAAAUAGCCACAUCAAAAGAAGUCAUACUAGAUUAGCAUCAAUUCAUUUUGUUGACAAGGUCACUACAGUGGCAGAUUAGGGGAAUUCUGUAGUCAUUAGUAUACUUAGAUUUCAGCAAAGCCUUUGACAAAGUCAAGCUGUCCUUGUGUACAAAAUGGAAAUAUGUGAACUAGAGGAUAGCAUAGUUAGGUGGAUUUGGAACUGGUUAAAAGACUGAAAUCAGAAAUCCUGUCAACCUGGAAGUCUUGAACCAGGAAUCCUUUCUUGGCCCUGGGGUUAUUUUACACUUCUAAAGCUAUAAAAAACAUGAUUGUUUGAUUUACCAAGGGAAGGAAAACUAACAUGUUGGAUAAUAAUCAAGGCCCCAGUGACAUACUAAUUUAAGAUGGAAAAUGUAAUAGAGAUAAAUAGAAAGUACAAGGGAAACACAGCUACCUAGUUAUUUUAAGGCUAAUGAUAAGGAUUAGAGAGAGAGAGAGAGAGAGAGAGAGAGAGAGAGAGAGAGAGAGAGAGAGAGAGAGAGAGAGAGAAGUAAUAGGGGAAAAAUUUAAAUUUUCUAAGUUCAGGAUUGGAAAGGUAUGACCACACAACAGUUCCUGUGAAUGAAAUGUGGGGAUAUUAAGGGAUUGCAAAGCACAAGAAACAUGUGCUAUGACCACAACCCUUUUUUCUUCUUCUUAGUCCCUUAUCUCUAUUUUUUUAUCUCCACUGUUUACUGGUUGCAAGGCAGGAGAGUGGUAAGGGCUGGGCAAUGGGAGUUAAGUGACUUGUGGGGGUUGGGGGGGGUCACAUAGCUAGGAAUUGUCUGAGGGCAAAUUUGAAUUUAGGACCUCCCUUCUCUAGUAGUAGUCGUCUCUCCUGAGGAUGACGAUUGUCUUUGUGCAUUUUCAUCUAUGGUGUAUAGAUGAGUAUGCACAGACACUUGUGCGUGAAGGAGAUUUAAGUGGAAAAGUCAAUGCACAGAGGCAGUCCCACUCUCUCAGCGUUGGAAGCCUGGGUCCAGUGGCACGAAAAGUCGUUACACCUGGAGACUUCCUCAGCUGCACUGGAUGGCCCUGUUGUCUUUUGUGCUCCAACAUGCCCUAAGCACUCCACAGUGCUUUGCUGCAUCGCCCUCUCAGCCGUUGACCUGGCUCUCAAUCCACUGAGUCACCUAGAUGCUUCUACCAUGGCAGUAAUCUAAUAUGAUUGUAAGGUACAUUAAAAUAAGUUUUGGGGGGCAGUUAGGUGACUCAGUGAAUUGAGAGCCAGGCCUAGAGAUAGGAGGUCCUUGGUUCAAAUUUGGCCUCAGAUACUUCCCAGCUGUGUGACCCAGGGCAAGUCACUUAAUCCCCAUUGACUAGUCUUUACCAAUAUUCUGCCUUAGACCCAAUACACAGUAUUAAUUCUAAGAUGGAAGGUGAGGGUUUUUUUAAAAGACUUUUUUACAUUAAGUAAUGCCAGUGAUAGUCUGAUAGUAUGUGAGACUGUGAUAGUCCCCUGUACUCUGACCCAGUGAGACAGUAUAGUAUACUACACUCAGUUCUGGGCUCUCCAUUUUAGGAAGGCCAUUGCCCAGAGAAGGGCAAUCAGAAUGAUAAGGAUCUAGAGAUGGUGCCAGAUAAAUCUCAUCCACAAGAGUUGAGAUAUUAAACCUAGAAAAGAGAAGACUCAGAGGGGAUAUAAUCAUUGUCUUCAAGUAUGGAAGAGCUGUUAUGGAGAAGAGGGAUUAGACUGGUUUCCUUUCUUUCCAGAGGGCAGAAUUAGGAGAGUAGGAAUAAGGUAGAUGCUUUAAAGAAACAGAACCCAAUUUGAUUUGAAAUGAGACUUUCUAACAAGUGGAAUUGCUCUCAAGUGGAAUAAGUUACUUCUCUACUUUGAAUAUCUUCAAGCAAAUACUGGGUGACCAUUUUUGAAUAUAGUAUUUCUAUUUAAAGGCAGGUUAGACUAGAUGGCCUCUGAGGUCCUUUUCUGCUCUAAGACUGUGUGAUUUCAAAUUUAAUACUCAUUAUUUAAUCCUUCUGGAAAAGGGGAUUAAGAAUACCUACCAGCAAAUUUUUUCCAUCUCUUCUUCCCAUUCCCUGGUCUCCUCACUCAAUCAUGAAGAUUAGGUCUUUAUCUGGUAUGUGUAUGCAAGAAUAUCAAUCUAUGAAAAUAUUUUUGAAAGGGGAAGUGCUGAGCUGUAAUAUUAAAAAGUAAAGGGGUCAGUAAGGUAGCUCAGUAGAUUGAGAACCAGGCCUAGAGAUGGGAAGUACUGGAUUCAAAUUUGGCCCCAGAUACUUCCCAAUUGUGUGAUCCUGGGCAAGGCACAACUUCCAUUUCCUAGCCCUCACUGCUCUUCUACCUUGGAACUCAAUACAUAGUAUUGAUUCUAAGGCUAAAGGUAGAGGUUUUUUUUUCUUUUUUUUUUGAAGUAAGUAAUGCCAGUGGCAUUUGGUGCAAUUGAUUGCUUCUUUUUUUCAUUGUGUGUUCUAUCUAUCUCCUUCUCUUCAGGAAAGGAGGAAGUGAAAGCAAUGAAAUUUCCCCCUCCCUUAGGAUCCUGACUUUUCCUGACCUCUUUCCCUUCUUCUUAUCAUGAGAGUAGAAUGAUAAACUUUCAUAGAGUAAACUAUAUUGAACCAUGACAUAGCAGACCCAUGGAUUCAGUUUAUGAAUUCCCAUUCAUUGUAGAAAGGGGUAAUACUGUCACCUGCCCUAAAGAAUCCAGGAGAAAACCUGUGCUUUCAUGUCCUCUGGGGGAUCCCUAUUCUUCUUCAUCUCCAAUCUCUUAUAACUCAGCAGUGAAGGGAGACAAAGGGAUCCAGACUUAAAAUCAAGAGCAAAGUUGUAGUAAAAAGAGUUGUGUACUAAGAAUCAGUUCCUGGUCUCAGUUCUGCCAUUACCUGUCUGCUUUUGGACAAAACACUUCCCAUCUCUAGUCUCAGUUUCUUUCAUUUUCAAAAUGGGGAGAUCUAGAUGGGACUAGAUGAUUUCUGAAGUCUUUUUCAGAUAUCAUUUUAUGAUCCUAAGGGCACAGAAAUCAGAUGUUGGAAGAAGGGAAAUUAGAAGAAAUUGUAUUGAAGAUUGAAUCUUCCAUUAAAAAAGAAAAAAGGAGAAUUAAAAAAAAAAACUACUACCCUUCCCAAAUAGUCUUUUCUCGCUCACUUAUAUGUGUUUUUAUACAUGUCCCUAUGUGCAUAGAGAUAUGAUUUUAUCAGUGGAAACAUUUAAAAAGAUGCACUGCCAUCUGCUUGGCCACUGUACCCAAAGGAAGAUAGGCUUUUUCACUUGUAGCCGAAACCUCUUGCAUUCAUUUGUUUCUCCCACAGCAACUUUGUAUCCACAGCACUUAGUAGAGAGUUUUGUACAUAGUAGGAGCUUAAUAAAAAUGUUUUCUUUCAUUCAUUCAAUUCAUUCACACAAAAUCCACAGAGGUGGCUCUGUGCUAUCCCAUAAAGCAUAGGGUUAUUGGACACAGUUGCUAUAAUUGGGAAGUUUAUAUCCAAACUGGGAGGAUGGGGCAAGCAUACAUAAUAAGAAACAAUGACAACAAUUGCCACAACAACAAGAAGCUAAAAAUAAAAACUCCACUUCUAAAGUUGGUUUCAAAGAUAGAAAUGAAGGGAGAGAGAGACAGACAGAGAGUGAGAGAUAGAGUCAGAGAGAGACAGAGACAGGGAGAGAGAGAGUGUAUGUGUGUGUGCAUGCACGCAUGCGCAUCUAAAGGAGUGAGGUGGGUCUUCCCCAGAGAAGCCUUCUACUCUACCUCUCAGCAGUGCUGAUAAAACAGAAACCUAAUCAGGGAGCCAGCUCCAUCACCUUGGGAAGGGGCAAGCAGGCUAGCAGCCUAUUAGGCUCACUUCCCCAGAGCUGUUUCAGAGCUGGAGAAACACUUCAGUGAUAAGUGAAAGUGUCUGGCUCAGGCCCCUGGGGAUUUUCUGCUAUCCGGAGAAUGAGUAGAUAAAGCUUGGUAUUAGCGAACACUGAUGCUCUCCAGGCAGGGGAGAAAAAAAAAUACAAGAGAGAUACUCACUGAGACACAGAGGAGGGGACCCUGGGCCCUCUUCCCAGCCCUGGUGGUUAUCACAAAUGACACAUCGGGCACAAUGAAGCAAGACUGCCAGAGGCUUGUACAACUGGGCUUCCAAUCUCUAUUUUCCCUAACCAACCCCAACUCUACAGAAAAGAGAGAUUUCUGAAGGUAAAUACUGGUGUGUAGAACCACUUACAUUGAAUAUGCACACAGACACAUUACAUCUUUUGCCCAUAAUUUUAUAUGAUAAUAAUGUUGUUGAGUCAUGUCUGACUCUUUGUAAUCUCAUUUGGAGUUUUCUUAGUAAAGAUACUGGAGUGGUUUGCCAUUUUGGUUCUCUAGCUCAUUUUACAAAUGAGGAAAUUGAGGCAAAUGGGCUCAAGUGACUUGCCUAGGUUAAGAUGAGUCUUCUUGACUGUAGGCCUUGUGCUUUAUCUACUGCAUCACCUAACUGCCCUCUAUAUGAUAAUAGCUAACAUUUAUAUGACACUUUAAAGUAUUAAAAGCAUAUUAUAAACAUCCUCAUUUGAUUUUAACAGUCCUGUGAGGUAGAUGCUAUUAAAGAUAAGGAAACUGAGGUUAAAACUUCACCAUAAGGGUAGCUAGAUGGCUCAGUGGAUAGAGUGCCAGGCCUAGAGAAGUGAGGUCUUGAGUUCAAUUUUGAUCUCAGACAUGUCCUAGCUGUGUGAUCCUAGACAAGUCACUUAACUCUAGCUGCUUAGUACCUGCUGCUCUUCUGUCUUGGAACCAAUGUUCUGUUUUGAUUCUAAGGCAUGUUUUAAAAACUUUACUAUAACCACAAAGCUAAUAAAUAUUGGAGGCAGGAUUUAAACUGAGGAUUCUAAGUACAAGUACAGUAUUUUUUCUUUUAUGCCUUCCUGCCUCUAUGCGGUAUGAGAUCACCUUGGCAAUGCUGUCAGUUCCCCAGCUUCUACCACUUGGAUACUUUCAGGGUUUUUGGGAUCAGUGGCUAUCUUGACUUUCCCUCUUCUUUUACACUGGAACAUAAACCUAGAUUUCCUGUGUAUGUACUUUCCAGAAUCAGGCCCAGAUAAAUAUCAGACUGCUCCUUCAAUGGGAUUUUUAGUUUGAGAGAUACCUGAAGGGCACCUAAUCAAGUCAGAUGGAAUACCUAAAAAGGCAAUACUAGUAUAAGACAUGUGAGGGAAAACAUAGGAAGUACCUUUUCUUCAUGCUAGCUACAAAAUUGACCUGGGCAUGUCUCAGACCUGCUAUCCAGACACAUACAAUGUCUGGAAGUUGGCUAAUGUGCCAGCUCAGUUUCUAUAUGUUCCAUCCCCAAGUCUUAUUCUAGAGCUACCUUCAGGCUAUGUUCUAUCUAACCCAAUUGCUUGAGUAUGCAGCUGCUUACCACACUUUAACUUGCCCUAGAACCAAAUACCCUUCUAGAAUGUUUCCUCAUCUGUAAAAUGAGGGAAUUCGAUUAGAAUUAGAUCCCUAAAGUGUCUUGCAGUUCUAAAUUAUUACCUUUUGACAUUAAGAACAGACUGAUCAAUUAGCCUAGCAGCCUUCCUCUCUCAAAUACACUCCUGGGAGUUAUCUUUCCCCACCAAAAAACAAACACAGUCCAACUUCAUCACUUCUCUCUUGGCUAUUCCCUCCUUCCUGCCUAAGAAAGAGAUGAUCUAAAAGAUGUUGGGAGAAGUGGAAAAAGUUCAGUCUCCGAAGUUACAACUGUCAGGAAUAAGCUGAGCUGUAAGGGGAAAAAAUCACCCCAAGGACGUGCCUUUUUGAGACAAAGAUGAUGAGAAAUUUCCAGUACAAAACAAAUCAGAAAAAAUUCCCCAUCAUGUCCCUCCACCCUCAUUGCCCCUGCUGAGAACUGGGCGGUAGGGAAGAAGGCCAAACCUCAGGAUAAUGUUCAUUUUCCCUUGUAACCUCUGGUCCAAUUAAAAGGGUUGCACAUUUCCAGUUUUACCUCGCAGAACCAAAUAUAAUGGAGCAUUGGAAUGGAAUUGAAUUUCCCUUUAAUUACCAUGGCUCAGAGAUAUUGUUUAAUUUGUAAUUGGUGAGUUAAUUUAGUUUUUCCCUUUCGCAAUCAUGAUGCCCUGUGCACACACAUGUCCUUGCACACAGAAAAGAGGGAGGAGUGGAUAAGCCCACAUUCCUGAGGACACAUUACUGUCCAGAUACACGCACUACAGAGUCAAAAAGAAUGCUUGCUUUGCCCUUUGUUACAAUAAUUCCUCACUAUAUCCAACCACAAUCAUAUACUCUUACAUGCCAUUUCAUGUCAUAAUAUUCACACAUGCAUGAGCCACCCCCAACAUGCAAAUGGGAGCAUUUUUUCUUCUAAUUACAUAUUCAGCACUUCUGAGAAAAUGAGAUUUUAGUAAUUCAAUUGGACUGAGAAGCAGGGCUAUAAUAAAAUGAAAUUUGUAACAAUCGGGCAGUUAAAUUAGUUAAAUGGAGAGGAAGGAGCUGUGGAAAAUUGACCCCUUGAUCUCGUAAGGACUAAUCAGACAUUUGAACUGAAUUGUGCUAACAAAGCCUUUAGGGUGUUUCAGAGGAGAAAACAACUGGAACUAGUGAGAAGGAAGAAGAAUAUGAGUAAAAUUAGGAAGGUGAGGACAUAGCUGUAAAGAGUCUUUUGUCAUUGCUGAUAUAAGUAGACACAGAAAUGAUUUUCUUAGGGAACCUUGACUAUUUACUCUAAGGAUUUGGUGGUUCCCAAACUAUAUUUCUCUGGGUGAGGGAGGCAUCAUAAAAAUAGUUGCUAGCAUGUUAAGACUUGGAAUCAGAAAUUCACCGGUUCACAUCACAGUUUGAGAAUUAUGAGCUGUGUAUCACAAAAGGAAAGUUACUUUUCUGAGGAUUUUUCUUGAUCUGGAAGUGGGGCAAUAAUAUUCAUGCCACUUACCUCACAGUUUUAAGGCUUAAAUGAGAUGUAGUAAAGUUCUGAGGUCUACUAUCUCAAACCUCCAUUCAUAUUGGCAGGCCAGGUCUCCAGAGGCUAGUUUGUUAUUUCUCCCAUCAGGGUCCCAGGUGAAACUGAGGGAAUGGAGGGUGAUUUCUCUAGUACUCUAACUCACAAGCCUCCAUCAGUAUAUGCGCCUCCAUUGAUCAUCAACUGAUGUCAGUUAGUCAGGCAGACUUAAUUACCUUUUGUAAAAAGAGUUGGUAUAAAACAUUCCCCAACACAAGUCGUACAUACUCCCACAAUUACAAAGUCCAGGAAAAAGUAGGUCAUGCUUAGAAAGUAUAUCUAGCAAAGAGAUAACUCAACAGUUUCUAGUUGUGAAAAGUCACUUUUCUCUGCUUAAUAGUCUUUUCAUGAAUGUAUAGCCACUGUCAGAUGGACUUAUUAUAAAAUCCUAAAGCUGUUUUUCCUUAGGGUGCUUAUUUUGUCUUCAAUGUUUUUCUCAGUUGCCAAUGGCAGCCAUUGCUAUUCUAAGAACAUACAUAAUCUUGGAUGGGAAAUCCCAAAUUCUCUGACCUUUUGAAGUUUGCAAGGUCUUUCUCUUAUCAAUGUAUGACUGGAGGGAAGAGAGUCUCUCAUCUUUCCUCCCUCCCAAGUAAUUCUCUCUCUGAUGCUUAGUCCCCACCACUUCCAUUAGUAAGCUGACUCACCAUUGAAAUACCAAUUCCAUGCUAGUUUUCUGUUUUUGUCCAAGCCCUACCAGGAGUGAUGACUUCCUCAACCAAGUUCAGUAUGUUUUUGGUGUAGUGUCAUUUUAUCAUAUCCAAUGGUUAAAAGCAUUUUCUCCUUCUGAACUGACAAAAGACUUAUUGCAUCUAGUUUUUAAGGCCUUUGGAUAAUUGAUUAUGUGUUCUCAUCUAAUAAAAGAGAUUCAGAAAGCAUAGCAUUUUAUAAGUUAUUUUAAGAGGGAUGGCACAUUUGAUUCAAUUGAUCCCCUUCCAUCCUUUCAGAGGUUAUGUAUGAAAGCAUUUUGGAAAAUUUAAAGCUGCAAUAUAAAUACCAGUUAUUAUUGUUAUAAACUCCUACCAGGACAAACCAGCACAAAAACUACAAACUAGAAGAAAAGAGAAGGAAAGUGAAGCAUGUCUAGGAAAAUACAAAUGCAAAAUAAGUAUCAUCUGCCAGCAUAGGUGUUUUCAUUGAACACUGUGACAGAGGCUGGCACAUAAAAAUAGUGCCAGGCUGAAGAAUGUGUGAAGAACUGAUCUCCUCAUCAGGAGAGAUUGGAAUCUUGAGGGGUAGAAGAUUCUGGCUGGAAGAGCACCAAAGAGAGAAGGUUGAAUAAGACUUUCUCCUGAGGUUACCCACUUUUUCCUGCUUGUGACUGGAAAUCCUUCCCCCCAACAUUUCCCAAUGAAAAAGACUAUUGAAGGAAAAAUCUGAGAAAGGCAUUUUGAAUCUCUGUCAAACUUUACCUCAACUUCUGUUGCCCUCAGUCUGAACUGUGGCCAUAGGGCCAAACCCAGGGUCAGCCAACCUGACUAUCUCUCAAGGGGCGCAGGCUGCCAAAGCCUGAGUUCCCCCCAAACUUGAGGAGGGAAGGGAAAGGGUUUCAUAUAGAGAUAGGGACUCCCUUUUCCCCACUUUCCUUUCCCAUUCUUUCCCUGCCUUUUGUAUUACCCUGAUUUAAUUGACAUUAAAGUAGUUAUUUUUUCCCUAAGCUGUGAAUGAAGUGUGAGUGAAUAGAUCAAGGGGAGAGACAUCUUCCUAGGAAGAAACCCUUUAGUCUCGAGUAGUGGAGAGGGGACAAGAGGACAAGAGCAAAUCUGGGAGCAGAGCCAUAGUUAAGGAGGAAAGACAGAAGGAGGAAUAUCUUCAAACCCCCUCUCCUCUCUCUGAGCCAACCCUAAACAUCUGCUUUGAGAAGGGAGGUCUCCUCUCUUUUCCUCUCUCUAUCCUGAAAGACCAAACCAACUCUCUCAUUUCAAUACAACACUUAACGGAAAUUUGUUCAACCUCUACUAUGUGUAAAGAAGGCACUGUGUUAAAUGCUAGGUAUAUAAAGAUGAAAAAAUACCACAGCCCCUGUUUUCAAGGAGCUUAUAUUCUAAUAAUGUUUCCAUAAGUGAAAGGACAAUGGGCAGUGAGCCAGAAUUCUUGGUUUUAGAGGAGAGAAUGAGGACAAAACUGAAGGAAAAGUUGGGGCAGAACUUUUGAAAUCAAGGGUUUAAAGACACUAAAAAUGCCUUUGACAAUAGAGCGGGUAGAGGUAACAGGCUAGAGGUAACCAAGAGAGAUUUCACUACAUUAGUGAGAUAUUUUUCCUACUAUUUUAUUUGCUUAUUAUUUUACAUUAGGAUUUCAGAAAUUAUAAUAUGGUGACCUUUUCUGAAUCUAAAUCUGAAUCUAAAUGCACUGUUGGGCAUCUAGAACCUUUCUUAAAUUCUCUUCUGAGAGAGCAGAAGUAAACAUGUUACUGUGGUUGGACUCAGAAAUGAAUAUUUAUUUUUCUAGGGGCAAAACCUGGAAGAUCCAGAUCUAGCCUUUACUGUUGUGAAUGAAAUAAACUGGCAGUGAUGGAAUCAUUGAAGGAAAAUGGCAGAUGAAGAACUGUAGCCUUUUCUGGAUAGGUAGAAAAUGGGCAAAAAAAGCUCAACUUUUCCUCCUUUAGUGAAUUUAGGAGAAUUGAAAAGGGUUGCCUUUGCAGGCCUUGAAAUUCCUGUUAGGCUGGAUAGUGUAAUGGAAAGUAUAUUGAAUUUGGAGUCAGAGGCUUGAAUUUGAAAACUAAUUCUGUUGCUUAUACUUCUAUAUGACUAUUACCUCUCUACAUCUUAGUUUCUUCAUAUAUAAAAUGAGAGGAUUGAAUUAAAUAACCUGUAUGAUUCUUCCCAGCUAUAAAUCUAUCAUCACAAUUUGAGGAGGACUUGGUGCUCCACUGGAAACUUGGAAUUUGGUCAUAUGGAGGAUAUCCUUGUAAAGGAAUGAGUUGUCUUUUUUUGAAUUUUGUGAUGAUCUGUGUUGGGAUAGUACUGAGGCUUGGAUAAUUUAAUUAUUAUGGGAAGUCAUAUGGCAGAAUGGAAAGAGCAUUGGGCUUGGACUAAGAAAUAUUUGGGUUUAAGUCAUACCUCUGUUAUCUGUGUAAUCUUAGGCCAAUCAUGCAGCUUCUCUUAGUCUCAGUUUCAUCAUCUACAAAAUGGGGAUAAUAUUGUCCCAUUUACCUCACAGGAAUAUUAUAAAAAAUAGAUAAGGGGUAGAAAAUGCUAUGUAAACACAUACAUGUAUGUUAAUGUAUAUGUCAAUAGGUAUGUAUAUAAUUAGAAUUCUAAAUGACAUGCAUGUGUAGCAUGUGGUUGGGUCUAGCCAAAUAUCCCUUUGACCCUUCUGAAAUGGUUGAGGAUGUGGUUCAGAUUUUAAAAACACAUUAGUGGUAAAAAACUAGAGAACUAGAACCUAGGUGGAAUCCAUGAUACUAAGUACUAGGAAGAAGAUUAGGAUAAUAGUAAUGCAAAUUACUUCUCCUAUUCUAGAGAACAUGACUGACAAUAUGAGGUAGGACCAUGGGAAAGUAUACAGAAGUUAGUGUUGUACUAUCUUGGUCAUUCUAUCUCCAGGCAUUGCUAAGAAGAUCAAGACAGUAGUGACGGCUAUCUGCUGGUUAUAGAAAAAAAUUUCUCUUGGCCUCUUCACUAGUUUUACCCUGACUUUAGGAAUGAAAGAUGGUGAUGAUUAUUACUUCUAAGUUCAAUGCUCCUGAUUUUUUGUACUUGUGAGAAGGAAACUAAGAAGCAAAGAGCAAUACAAAAAUGGACAGAGGAACAGCAACAGAAUCCUGGCUACCAUGGAAGCAGGUGAGAAAUUGUAGCCAUUAAGAUGCCAGCACUGGACUCCAGAUCCUGUGAACUUGCCUUGCUGAAUUCUGUUUAGGCUGUUGACAUGUCAGUGAUGUCUCAGUCCUUAUCCAUUUCCCCUUUCUGUCUUCUCAAGGUGUAAGCCUGAUGUUUCCUCUAGCCCCUUCCCUAUUUUGUUAUUUCUUAAAAAUUAGUUUACCUUUUCAUGUUUAAAUAUUUACUUUGACUUUUAAACCAUCAAAAUGUAGAAAAUCCAAAUUGCUAAAUUGUAUGUAUUAUGAUAAGAAUACAUCUUGGAGAGGAGUCAUUGUAAAAAAGGAAAUUUAAAACUGGUAUUUUGCUAGAAAGACUUCCCUGAUGGGGUACUCAGAGUUAGUAAAGUUAUUAAUUCAUGUUUACAACUUCCCAGGGCAGAGAAUAUAUAACUGGCUGGGCUGGGAUUGAAGGCAUCUGCCUUCUCCAUCCAUCCCCAUUCCCCAUCCUACCUCCCACAGGCCUACUUUGAACAGAAAAUCACUUCUCUAAAGGGAGAAGGAAUUGCUAGAGAGAAAAAUCAUAUCCCAAAAGCGGAAGAAUAGCUCAGCCCACAAAAAGUUAGAGUGUAAAGUGUCUGUUGACCUUGACCAGCUGUUCAUUAAUUUAGCAUAUAGCAACCAUUACUUUAACAUAGGGAUAUAUUUGUAAAAUCUGGAAGAGCUGUUCACAUAUGCAAUGGAGAUUUGAUUUGGCUAGCUUUUAGAAUAUACUUGCAAAGUGGUUAGGUGACUAAGUGGACAGAGAGGCCUAGAGAUGGGAGGACUUGGGUUUAAAUCUGGUCUCUGAUACUUGCUGGCUGUCUGACCUUCGGCAAGUCACUUAACCCCAACUGCCUAGUGCUUAUUGCUCUUCUGCCUUGGAACCGAUACUUACUUUUGAUUGCAAGAUGGAAGAUAUGGGUUUAAAAAAGAAAAAAAAGAAUAUACAUGCUCAAUAUCCAUAUAUAUAUAUAAAUGUAAAUAUAUAUAUAUAUAUAUAUAUUAAUUUGUGUAAUUAGGAUUUUGCUUCCCAAGGACUCUCUUUUCCAGCAUCCCAGUUACGUAUCUACAUAACAUACUAACAAAGAUAUAAGUUUUGUGCAGCUCCAUCCUCUCUCUCUUCUCCUGGAAACACCACUGUGGAGGUUGGGCAAGAGUUAGGCAGGAGAAUUUUACCCAUGCAUUUUUUACUUAGGCUUUCUAGUUUUGUUUCUUUUAUUUCUUCUACUUCAAGUGAUUAUUAAUAAAUCUUAUAAAAUAUUAUACUUGGAGUUAUUAGAUAUUAAUUUAAAUUUUACACAUUACAUAUUUUCCCUCCAAUCUUCAAUAGGAUGAAGGUGACCCGAGGGUCCCAAGGCUAAUACAACUGGACCCUAAGAUCCGACGAUUCUACAAAAUUGCAAAGGAUGAUGGAUUAAACCAUCAAGUAUCUCUGUUUUUGCACAAAUAAGUUAGGGAAAGGAGCUAGACCUGUGAUUUCAUUGUUAUAUGAAAUUCCCAAGUGAGGAAGUUCCAUCUACCAUUGUAAAUUGUCAUGUUUAGUCUAAGAGAGUUGUCUGUGAGGUAUGGAGGGAUUAAAUGAUUUAUCCCAAGACACACAGUAUAUGCCAAAGGCAGGACUUGAACUCAAUUCUCCUAAUUUGGAGAUUAGCACUUUAGUCACUAUUUUUAGAUUAGCACUUUAGUCACCAUUUUUGCCUUUCUAAAUCUAUACAUAGUAGUCACUUAAUAAGUUUUUGUUGAAUUGUGGUCAUUGCAUUAUCCUGAAUUUGAAAGAGGCUCAUCACCAGAUUUUAGACUAUGGGGUGGCAAAUUUUUAUAGUGUAUUAGGUGUUUGAUCUUCAAGGAUUAUGGUAAUGAGGAAUCAGAUCUGCCACCCUCCUCUCUUGUCUCCCUCCCCCCUUCUCCCUCCCCCUUCAUUUAGUCUCUUCAGUUGGUGAUAACUGGAAGUCAGAUCUGAGUAAGUUUUCUUGAAAUAUCUAAUAGAUAAAUCACUCUUUGAAUGGUUGGAACAAGGGGUUUAUUUAAGGAAACAGGGAGGAAAAGGAAAUUAAAUGGGAGUCAGGGUUUAGGGUUUCCCUGAUCUUAAAAUAAUCCUAAAUUAAAGAAUAAUAUUGUAGAGUCUUAAAUGAGGGAUAUAGCUAAUAGGGGUGAGGAUCUUUGAGUCACUUUCUGAUACAAAGAAAUAAAUUCAGUAAGAAGAGGAUCUUCUCAGUCCUUACUCCUUUCUGUUUUAGGAGAAAGAGACACCUCCAACAGUUUGGAUGUUUUUCUUCAACAGUCUUUUACUGGUCACAUUCUCUUCUGGAAUGCUCUUUGAUUGACAGCUUCUGCAAAUCUUUCAUUCACAAUAGCUAUAGCAACUCAUGAAACUAUCUACUGAAAUAUAGAAAGUUUAUGAUUUAUGUUGGAGGAGGGAGUACUCACCUCAAGAAAAGCACAGAUUCUUGAAAUGUACAUGCACAUGCAUGCAUGCAUACAUACAUAGGUAUAGGCAUGUAUACAUAUAUACAUAGCACAUAUAUACACACAUACAUAUGGAUAUGAAAUUAUAGUUUGACUCAUAAAUAAAAUCCUGUAUAAACUUACUAUAUGAGGAGAAAGAGGAGAUUUGGAAAGUCAGCAGAGGAAGGGACUGGAGGACAGAGAUGGAUGCUGGAAUUUGGGUACACAAAAAGGUGGCAGCAAAUAUUAAAGGGAUCCUAGCUACCAAGAUCUGGCCAAAAAUAAUUGCAGUGGUCUAGGGUAUAUCAAGCUUAUAUUGGUUAGGGAUGUAAGCUAGUAGAUAGAGGUGGAAUAUGGGAAGCAACUUGUAUAAGUUCUCAUUCUUUGGGGGUAGGUCUGGAAAUGACAGGAGGAGGAAGUGUAGUUUAAUGGAAAGAAUGUUGAAUCUCAAGUUGGAGAACCUGGGUUUAGAUCUUUCCUUUCAUACUUAUUACUUUGGUCAAGUCACUUAGGUUGGACCAGAGGACCUCUCAUAAGUUCCUUCUAUCUCUAUGAUCCCUUGAUUGGGAAGCUGACCCAAAGCAAAGUGUCAGGACCCUGCAUUGGAGAUACCAGUGGAAAUUUGCUUACAAUCAAGGAAUUUGGAGUUAUGAGAAUAUGAAAACUUUGCACCUCUCCUUUCCUGCUCUACAGGAGCUACCUAUUAUGUCUCCUGUUGACUGUCCAUGCUAGGACAGGGACAGCCCCAGGGUCUCUGAAGGCCAGGCCAACCAUCAGGUCCCAUCCUGUGGCCCCUGAACUAAUAAGUGAAUACAGACCUUGUUUCCUGCGUUAGCCAGACUCUGGGCAACUCGCUUGGCUGGGAUGGCACAGAAGUAUAAGAGAUACCACCUGGAAGACUGAGGACCCCUGUUCUCCCUAUCCCCACCUCCCCAAUCCAUACCCAUCCCCCACCGGGGAUGAACAGCUGCAGAACAGGUCUUCGUUCAGCUCUUCUGCCUGGCUUUUCCCAGUCCAGGUGCAGUAUGUGUUUCUGGGCCAGAUGGCAUCCAGACAGCCUGAUUGAGCCCUUCCCGCCCCCUGCUUCCUCAGAGCCUUUACAGAAGUCCAACCCUUCUGCUGAGCCACAUAAACAAGCUAGGGAGGAGAGAAGGAAGGCUGGGUGGGGGGAGUAGGAGGAAGAGGAGAGUGGAAUAGGGUAGGGUGGGACUCCCACCUGGUAGCCUGAGCCUGCUGAACUUUCUAAAGAGUCAGCAACAAUGGUGCCAUGCUCUCCCCUGCUGCUUGCAGAAACCCUUCCCUGGGUCCAUCACUGUAGCAGCUUGGAUUGGAACAGAGAGGUAAUCAAUAAGAACUGUGAAGGUGUAGGCGUCAGGGAUUCUUCCAUGUCAGGGGGAAGGCAGGAGUGGGGAGGUUUGAGGUUGGGGUUUAUAUGAGGAGGGGGAAGAGAGCUGACCUAGAAAACUGCUGAAGUCACUUUUGGCCAGUGGGUCUAUUGAUGUGAUCAAGUUAUAGGAGUCACACUGGGCCAACCUCUCCUUUGGGGAGGGAAGGAUGAGGUGUGGGAAGUUGAGAGAAGAAGAAAAAUACAAAGGGGUGGGGCACUGAAUUCGGGAUCAUUGGCCAUUAGUAUUUUUAAUGUUGCUCGUAGGCAGUUGGAGACAGGAAGGGAGAAGAGCAGCAAGGGCAACAGCCCAGGAAAGAGGGGGCUAAGGCUAAGGCUUUAAGGCUAAGGAUUCAUCUCUCACCCUCAAAUGAAAGAAAAGGAAGCAAAGGCAGGUGGGAGGGUCUGAAAUCCCCAGGAGACGGGGAAAAGACUGUUACCUGGAAUGGGAUGUCAGAGUUUUGGGGGAUGAUUGACUUAAAAAUAACAAAAUACCACUCUUCAUAUAUAGGGUAACACUGCUGGCCUAUCUCUUACAGUAAGAUGUGUUUUUGAAAUUAUUUUUCCACUCCUAUUUGCCAGCCUCGGGGAACAGUAGGCUUGGUGGUCACAGAAUAGAGGCUUGUUAGUUUUCCUGUAAAAAUGUCCAGGCAGGGAGCAAACCCACAACUUUGGUCCCAUUAACACUAUUCCUUAAUGAACUAAGCUAAUAAUGAAAUACUUUACAUUUGUAUAAGGCUUUAAUGUUUACAAUGUACUUUCCCCAGAAUAGUAAAGUAGGCUGUUCAAGUAUUAUUUCUCUUGUUUUAUAAAUGAGGGAGCAGAUCACUGAAGGGACUUACCCAGAAACACAUAUCUGGUAAAUGGUGGAGCUGGGAUUUGAAUGACUGUGUCUAAAUGCAAAUUCAAGUUUAGGGCUCUUUCUAAGAUAUUGCCUUGAAGUGAACUGGUUGAUGAGAUGAACUGUUGGUUUGAAGAUGACAUGAAUGGGCAUAGGGAGGCAGGAAGAUGAUUAUAGGUAGAUUGUGGGCAUACUGUAUAGAUCAGAGGUUCUUAAUUUAGGUUCCAUUAACUUUUGGUUCUAUUUAUUUAUUUAAACCCUUAUCUUCUGUCUGAGAAUCAAUACUAAGUAUUGGUUCCAAGGCAGAUGAGUGGUAACAGUUAGGCAAUGGGUGUUAAAUGACUUGCCCAGGGUCACACAGCUAGGAAGUGUCUGAGGCCACAUUUGAACCCAGGAUCUCCUGUCUCCAGGUUUGGAGCCAUCUAGCUGCCCUGGUUCUACUAACUUUCAAAAAAUAUCUUGAUAACUAUCUUAAUGGAAUUAAAAAAAUAUCUGUGUCUUUUACAUUUUAAAAUAUUUUCUGAAAAAGGAGUCCCUGGGCUUCACUAUAGUAUCAAAUGAAUCUACGAAACAAAAAAGGUUAUGGGCCCCUGGCCUAAAUUUUAGGGUCCAGUCUUCUUCUCCCUUUCCUUUCCAUAUACAAACCUAAACAAUACAGCUUCUCUUAGUACUCAGUUUCUAACUUCCAUCUCAAUUUAAUAGAUACCACUGAUCUUCUCUGAACCAGGGUGAAGCAUAAAACCUUACUCUCCCACCUGCCACUCUUUGCUCCUAAUUUCCUAUAACAAACAGACACAGGGUCCAAGGCCUUUCACAUUAAGGGGGAGUCAAGAGGAGGAAAAGAAUGUCCUCAGCAUGAGGGCUUUUUGCUCUCUGAAUGCCUGCCUUAAGGUGCUGUCCUCAUCCUCCCUCCUCUCCCCAAAGGCAGCUCUCACCACCCAAGAUGUACAGGGCCUUUCAAAUAUUUAUCCUGAUUUCAUUUUUGAAAGGGAAAUAACAAGUGAAAGAGAAAGAGAGUGAGAGAGAAGGGAAAAAAAAUCUGAGAUUCUCAUUUGAAAGUUAAUUAGUCUAAUUAGUUCUAAUUAAGAGCUCCCAACACAAUGCAGUUCAUAAAUGAAUUGCCACUAUCUCCUUCUCAUUUCCUCUGGUUCUCAUUUCAGAUUUAAAAUGGGGAGAAGGGAGAGACGGUGGGGAUGCACCAACUGGAGAAACGAUUGGGGGGGCAAGAGAACCUGCCCCAGCUGGAGGCCCAGGUGUCCUUGUGGGGAGCAGGAGCAAAAGGGAACUUCUCAUUUCCCAGGGCUGAGCCCACUGAGGUGGAGCCCGGCUGUCAGCACAUCAGGUAGAGGUUUCUUCACAGGCCAGUGAUCAGCCUACAAAACUGCGUUCCCUGGGCAUGAUAGAAAGAACUUUUAAAUCCAACCCCAUUAAUGCUCCAAUCUCAUUAAAACUCCUUCCUGCUUUAGGGCCCUAACUUUUAGUAACUCUGGGCUUUAUCCAGGAAACUGCAUCCCAGUCCUCCAGCUUCUUCUUGAGGUAGGGGAAAACUACCCAGACCUGGAUCAAAGAUUGCUGGCUAGAGGCCAAGGACGGCCAGGUUAAUGCCCUCCUGCUCUUCUAUCUCUGUUCUUUGAAGUUACAAAUGCUGGACAAAUGAAAGCUAUCUAGGUUAUCAUCAACUCAAGGCUUAGACCCCUAGCUGGGAUGUGUAUCAGGGCUAUACUGAGGGAAUGGGGCAGAGGAGGUGGGAGAAAGGGGAGGGAGAAUAUUGUCUCAUUGGCUUCCUUUUGCAAAAAGAGUAGGUGAUGAGAAAAGAGCAGAGGGGAAGACUUAGCCCUGAGGAUCUUUAAAUGCAUAGCAAGACAUGAGGGACUCCUUCUGCCUCCUACAUCCUGUCCUUUCCUGGGAAGAGAAGGAAAAAUGAUACACACAAUUCAGACUGGCACAGAUUGUCCACACUAGGCAGGUUAGCAGAGGCUGGGUCUUAGUGCUCUUUCUUCCUCUCAAUUAUUGAUGCCACUGGCCAUAACCCCAACAGAAGAUCAGUUUUAAGGCGCUCCUGCCACCACAAGAGCACCAGAGGUCUGCCCUGCCUCCACUACCUCCUUGACUGACUACCAGAAAGUUCAAUGAGUAGAUGACAGCAGAGAUUUGACCAUAGGUCUGUGAGCUUCUUGGCUAGGAGUAGGGACAACAUACUAUGUGACAAAGGGAAGAGAUGGUUCCCCGCCCCCCUACUCAUAUUAAAAGUUGUGGGACAGAAUACAGCCUGGGGAAGUGGUUUCUCUUCUACCUCGCGCUCCCCACUCAAACCUCUUCAGAAAGUUAGUCCCUAGGCUGCAGCCUUCCUUCCUACUGACUGUCACCAAGCCUGUUCUCUCCCUUCCUUGUAGACAUUCUUCUGGUAAAUACAACACAUUAGCUACCUGGGCAGUGCUUUAGUCAAACAAAGUAUACAGUUUUUUCCCUUAGGGGCAGUUAAUCACAUGGCUCUAGUAUCGUUGAUUCUACUAGAGGGGCUGCCUGGGUAGAGAGGCAGCAUUGGAUAUGAUGGAGGACUGUACACAGGAGAUUUAGGAGGAGAAACAGCCCCAGGGAUACUCUCCAGCUUUCAGCUCAGACCUCCCCACUCUUACAAAGGAUGUUCUGAGGAGGGCGACAGGAACGACUGGAAGGGAUGAUUUCUGAACUAAGAUCAAAACAAUUAAAUAGGCUUAGCUCAGAGUCACUAAUGAAGGGGAUCCAAUAACCACCUACAGGUAUGUGAAAGGCAGGAGAAGAUUCAGAGAAGGGAGAUAGGAAAUAUUUAGAGGAUCCCAGGGGGAAGAAAGGAUUGAGAAAGAGACAGAUGCAGGCUGAACAUUUCCUAAAGGCAUGAUAGAUAUAUGAGACUGAGGAACUGUUUCCCCAAGAGACACUUAUGAAAACCCUAGGAUUGGAGCUGUUUAAUGGAGGGUGUGAGAUGUCUUAACCCUUUUAUUGCUGGGACCAUUCCACUGCUAGCUCCCAGCAUCAAGGCAUUGGUAUAGGGAGAGGAAACAAAGAACCCUAGUAAUCACUCAGCUCAAUGCCCACCCUCAAUUAACUUGCCAGAUACUGGCCUGAAAGGUGUCCCACACUAAAUCAUCUAGUCAGACAGUAGGCAGCUAGGCACUGUGGGAGUGAAAGAAUCUGUCCCAGGGAUGAUAAAAACAGCCUUGGACGAGAUGUCAGAAGACCUGUUUCUAGUUCUAUCCCCAUCAUUUUACUAGCUGUGCAGCUUUGGGCUCAGUUUCUUCAUUUGUAAAAGGGCAAUGAUAAUGCAACAAUCUUUGUACAUACCUUAAAGGGUUGUUGUGAAGAUGGAAUGAGAUAAUGUGCUUUAUAACUGUCAAGUCCCUAUGGAAAUGUGAGCUAUUAUCAGAGGCAGACAAAACACUGACUUAAAAGCUCUUACAAAGAAAUAUAAUAACAGCUCAUUUUUAUAUGGCACUUUUCAUGUUUUUUCCAUGGUUGACAAAAUGCUUUCCUUACAGCAACCCCCUUUGAGGUAAGGUAAGUAUUAUGACCUCCAUUUUCCAGGUGAGGAAUCUGAAUCCUAGAGAGCUGACAUGGUUUGCUCAAAGUCUUCAAAUUAGUAAGUGAAGUUGGACCACAAAUCCAAAUUUUCCACUAGUUCAGGGCUAUUCCCACUAUGACUUCCUACCUCUAGACUUAAUAUUGGUAAAAGGCAUAGGGUGAUGAGUUUUCUAUAUUUUUCAUACAUGAGUAGUGACUGCUCAAAUCUAAAAAACAAUUCAAGAAGAAAAGUAAAAUUAAAAUAGUAUAAAUAGGCUGAAAAGGAAGAGACCAGGAGGAAAUUCAUAUGAAAGUUGUUGAAAUUGCCUGGGCUUGCUAGGCUUUCAAUGAGGUCCCUUCCCCACCCCCAUCCCCCCUUUUUUAUGUCUUAUCCCUUUAGUCUCAGGUCCCUAUGCUCUCCCUUAAUAGUUCUCAAACAUGGGAUGGGAAAUGGCCAAAUCCCUCAUCAAGUGGCCCAUUUGAGUCCCUUUGCAUGAAUUUACUCCCUCUUUCAACUCUCUUUUCCCCACCAUAGUCUUGCACUCUUCUUAUACUUAUAAACAUGUAACUUAAAUUCUGAUAAAAUCACAGGGUAUAGCUUUUCAGAGAAAAGGGUUCAAGAUGAGUGGGUAAAGCACUCCUCCAUUUCUUCUGGAUGUCUUCCACCACUGAUUCCUUGGUCGCCCUGCAUUCUCCUCUUUUUUUUUAAAACCCUUACCUUCCAUCUUAGAGUCAAUACUGUAUAUUGAUUCCAAGGCAGAAGACUGGUAAGGACUAGGCAAUGGGGGUUAAAUGACUUGCCUAGGGUCACUAGGGAAUAUCUGCUGAUUUGAAGAGAAAGAGAGCGGAGAAGUGGAAAUCUGCUUGGGGCUGGCAAAAAGGGGCUAGGAAAGGUGUGUAUCAUUUCUGUUCUCCAAAGAGUUAUUCCAAAUAUUAGGUACAGAGGAUGACAAGGACCUCUUUGCAAAGUCAUGCCGCUGUUAAAAGUUUUCACAUUUCACAUAAAAGUUUCACAUCUUAAAUUUCACAUUUAAGAAAUGGGUAAAAGGAAGGGUUUUUGGAAAGGAGAAGGAAGGUUGCCUCUCAGGCUUCAUGAAACUAGAUGUAUAUGGGGGAAAUCCAUGGCCAGAAUUGAGAGCUAGAACCAGAAGGCAGAUUGAGAGGGUAAAUGAAUGAAGGGGCUGUCUAUAAACAUUUUAUUUAUAGGAGCAGCAAAGUCGCUGAGCAGACGGUGAUAGAUUUAGGAGGCACAAACAGCUCAGGACUCUUCAGCCCUUCCAGUAAAUUACUGCCACAAGGAGAACAACUUAUGA